UUAAAAAUACCUCCAGAAACCCUAAAAACCUAAGAAUCAGAGGACCUCCCCUCCUAUUCUCAGCCGCAAGUAAGAAACCCUCUCCUCAUCUCCACCGUUUCGAACUUUACCGAUUUAUUCUUAAAACCUCUGCCCAAACUUCGAUCACGGCGAAGCAAGCAGAGAUCUAACGGUGUGCUUCAAGAAGGUAAAACCUCCCUCUCUUUUCUCUUUUAUUUUUCGCCAAGAAAAGAGAAAAAGGAAAAAAAACUAAAAGAAAACGAAAAAAGAUCCAGAGAAAAUCGAGAAAUCGCCUUUCCUUAUUCAGUUUUUCUGUAUUUCGUAAUGAUUUCUCCCUUUUUAUUCAACAAUAAAUAAAUUUCAAAACAAAGAAGCAGAAACAAUGAACAAUCCAAAGGAGAAAAUCAAAUCUCUGAUCCUUUUGAAACUUUUUCUGGUUUUUGUUUGUAUUCAAUAUCUGUAUCUGUGUAAAAAAAAGGAACCAAAAACCCUUUUACAAAUUCGAAAAUGGCUUUAUACAGCCGAAAAUAAAAUAGAAAUUUAGAGGAAAUUCUUUUCUAAAUUUCUGCUAUUUUUCUCUGCUAUCCUCGCGUAUUUUGCUGCUGUUGCGCCUUUGUUCGGUUUUUCUUGUUUUGUGUUGCGUUGUCUAUUCUUGUUUGUUGCAGGUACGACCUGGAGGAGAAGAAGCACGUACGCGCGGAGGCGUAGCACGCCCGGGAGGGGGCCCUGAUUGCUGCGGCGCUGGAUGCUGCGUUGCUACCCUAGGGUUUCUGAUUCUCUUUGGUGUUGGGCCGUAUGAUUGUUGGGCUAGGUGUAAUUGGGCUAGCUGUAGUUUGGGUUUGUACUGGGCCAUUUGUAAAUGGGCUUGGCUUGUAUUUUGGGUCUGAGUUUGCAUUGGAUUGUUUUUAUUGGACUUUUAAUUUUAUUCUAUACAUGUGCAUUUUUUAUAUUUGAUUUUUAAUACUUGGGUUUGGGCCGGGAAAAAUUUGGGCAUUACAUUACCCAUUUGAUUUUUUUUUUAUUUUCGUCCUCCGACUAUUUAGUCUUUUGGGAACGCUGCGUUUAAGGGACGAGGGGAUUAUUUCUUAAUUGGUCCCUGUCUUUCCUUCGCGUAUUUGGUUUUAAUCCCUUAGCAUAUUUUAUUGUUUAAUUUGUUUAUUUUAUUAUGAUUUUUACUUUAAAUUUUGUUUAGAUCUCGAUUUAGUCCCUUACUUUCAAUAUUUUAUAUUUUAUUUUCCUUUUUAUAAAUUUAUUCAUGUAUUUAUUCAUUUAUCUUUUUAUUUCUUUUUAUUUUUGUGUUAUACUUUUUUUCUUACCAUUAUUAUUAUUAUUAUUAUUAUUAUUAUUAUUAUUAUUAUUUCAUUUAUUUACAUAUUUUACUCCAAAUUGUACCUUUAAAUUUCGUUUAUAUCACUACACCAAAACAGGUUUUUAGCGACCUUUUUUUAGGCCUUUAGCGGCGCUUUUUAGCGCCACUAAAGGAAGCGCCGCAAAAAAUGCCGCUAACGACAACGUCGCUAACGUUUGCAGCGUUUACAGAAAUAAACGCCGCUAAAGGUCAUGUUCUUUAGCGGCGCUUAAAAAAUACGCCGCUAAAGAUCAUGUUCUUUAGCGGCACUUAUAAAAAAACGCCGCUAAAGAUCAUGUUCUUUAGUGGCGCUUCAAAAAAACGCCGCUAAAGGUCACGUUCUUUAGCGGCACUUCAAAAAAAAUGCCGCUAAAGGUCAUGUUCUUUAGCGGCGCUUUUACAACAAAUGCCACUAAAGAACAUGACCUAUAGCGGCGCAUACCAAGAAACGCCGCUAAAGCUCAUGUUCUUUAGCAGCGCUUUCUUGACAAACGCCGCAAUGUAACAUGACUUUUAGCGGCGCUUUUAUAAAAACGCCACUAAUUUUAUGAUUUUUGUAAAAUAAAAUUUUAAUAUAUUAACAAGCUCUCCUGUAGCAACAAAUCAAAAGCAACCAGAUCUAAACCAGCCAAAAACAAUAAAUUUAUAUAAUAUUUCAAAUUAAACGAAUAAAAUAAUAUUAAUAUCAAUAAAUAAAAUAGAAUUCAUAUUAUUUUUACAAAAACGUUAAAAGUUAAAAUGAUAAAAAUAUUUAUGCAAUACACUAUGACGGCGGAAUUUGCGACUGCUGAAACAUCUUCAUCAUACUCUGAAGAUUGUCUUUUGAUUUUCCGUCGACAUUCAAAAUUGUACCCACAAUGUUCUCGCAGACAUUUUUCUCAAUGUGCAUAACAUCAAGAUUGUGUCGUAAAAGGUGAUGCUCCCAAUAAGGCAACUCAAAAAGAACUUUUUUUCCUCAAGUCCACCUCAUUAGGAUCGUCCUCUUCAUCAGAUUCAUCAUCAGCUUCAUCAUUUGAUCUUCUAUUUCUUUGCGUGUUUGGCGUUUGGUUCAUCUUCCCAUAAAUGAAAUUCAUAUCUUCCAACAUGAACAAGAUUUCAGAGCCACUGGUCUACGAAGGAGCUUCUCUAAACUCUUCAGUACCGUCAAAUACAGAACUCUAAAAUCUAAAUCUAUGAUUUUUCGGUAACCACCGACAAUGCCCCAUGUAAGAGAACUUCUUCCCAUUGUACAACCAUUGCGAACAUGUUUGUGCAGCACAACAAUGACACGCAUAACGACCCUUGGUACUCCAACCGGAUAAAUUGGCAUAAGCGGGAAAGUCAUUAAUGGUCCACAUCAAAGCUGCACGUAAAUUAAAGUUCUCCUUUCUCAGCAAAUCGUAUGUCUCGACUCCAGCCCAUAAUUGUUUUAACUCUUCAAUAAGUGGCUGUAAAUAAAUGUCGAUAUCAUUCCCGGGCCCUUUCUCUCCAAGGAUAAUCAUAGAUAAGAUAAGGGAAGAUUGCUUCAUACAAAUUCACGGAGGUAGAUUGUAAGGAACAAGCACUACUGGCCAAGUACUGUACGCAGUGCUCAUGAUCUUGAAAGGAUUAAAUCCAUCAGAUGCUAGCCUAAGCCUCACAAUCCUAGGAUCGCUUGCAAAGCUUGAAAAUUUAUUGUCAAAUGAUUUCCAAGCUAAAGAAUCUGCCGGAUGCGUUAGUAAUCCAUUAUUAGUUCGUCCAUCAUGGUGCCACGUCAUUGACUCCGUUGUCUUUGACGACAUGAAAAGCCUUUGAAGCCUUGGUAUCAGCGGAAAAUACCGUAAAAUCUUCACUGUGCAUCAUUUUCAUCGUCGUUCCCAUCUUCUGUGUUUCUACUUAUCCAACGGGAGUGGCCGCAUACCUGAUAGCACUGUUGGUUUCUCCGAUCGCCCCAAUACAACAUGCAGUCAUUUGGGCAACUAUGGAUUUUGUUGUACCCAAGGCCUAAAUCUUUUAUCAUUUUCUUCAUAUCUUUGCAUGACUGAGGGAUUUUUGCAAACGGAAACAUUUCUCUCAAAAACUCUAACAGCAUUGUCAACGAGUUUCUGGUCCACCCUCCCAAACAUUUUAAUUGAAAAAGACAAACACAGAAUGACAUUUUUGAAAAUUUUGAUCCCUCAUACAGUUCUUCGUUCAUGUCAUUAAGUAGCGCAUAGAACUUCGUUGCUUUUCCAUUCGGCUCUUCAUAACGUACACUACUUCCCGAUUCGGUAAAAGCAUUUCCACCAACAUUACAAUCAUCAGAUGCCACAAAGUCCGCUGGGAACAACUGGACACCAUGAUUGUGCAUAUUAAAUGCAUCCCACAACAUACCUUCCAUGUCAUCCCCUUUAUCAGACUGAUGGUAAGCAGUAUCAGGAUAAGAUACAUCCAUCCUUGAAGAGGAAGUACUAGGCGGGCAUUCUCCAUGAAAUAACCAUUGUUUAUAACCCCGAACAAACCCAUCAACAAUUAGAUGCUCGUAUACAACCUCACGAUAAUGUCAGUUUAUGUUGACACAAUUCUUACAGGGGCAAAGAAUCAUGUUCUCUUGGCUUGCGUAUUGAAAUGCAAAAUUUAGAAACGUCUGUACUCCAUUUCGAUAACCUUUGCUUACCCUUGAUAAAUUCAUCCAAGACUGGUCCAUUUCUUAAUUAUUGAAGUCUGAUUUUCACCAGAAAUUACAACGUUCAGUUCUUCGCUUAUAAGUAUAAAUAGUUAUGUAAGUUAUGAUAUGAUAUAUAUUUUUGUAUUAGGUAAAUUAUGUAAGUUAUGAAAGUAAUGUAUUAUGUAAGUUAUUUUAAGUUAUGUAAUAAGUUCUGUAUUAUAUAUGUAAGUUAUUUAAGUUAUGUAUUAUGAAAUUUUAUCUUAAUAAUAUAUAAGUUAUCUAAACUUAGAAAUUGAUGUAUAAUUAGAAAUUUUAUCUUAAUAUUAUAUAAGUUAUGUAAUGAGAAAUUAAUAUUAUCUAAGUUAUGUUAGUAGAAAUUAAUAUUAUAUAAGUUAUGUAAUUAGAAAUUUUAUCUUAAUAUUAUAUAAGUUAUGUAAGUUUAUGUAUGAUGGCUAUGCAAGUUAUGUAAUGUAUCAAUUUUAUGUACGUAGGUUAUGCAAGUUAUGUAAUGUAUCAAUUUUUAAAAAUAUAAGAUAAAUUAAAUAAAUAUAUAUAAUUAAUAAGUUAAAAUAAAUUUUGAUAAAUAGAUUAUAAUACAUAACCUCACCAUAACAUCACCAUUACAGCCUUACAUAUUAAACAUUUAAGUUAUUUAAGUAAUGUAAGUUAUAAAUUUUAAAAAUAUAUUUAUUAAUAAGUUAAAUUAAAUUUAUUAAUAAGUUAUGUAAUUUAUGUAAACACAAUUGCUAAUUCAUUGACAUUCAAUAAAUUAAUCGAUCAAAUUAUUGUAUGAAAAUGAUUAUUAAACACUAACAUUCAAUCAGUUAAUCGCAUCUAACAUCGAUAGUUUAUUAAUUUAGGAGUAAAUUUGAUAACUCAUUUCUUUGCCAAAAUCGAUAAAUUUUUCACAUUAAACCGAAUAAACUAAUCGCCCAUAAUUUAUUCAAAUACUCAAAAACAUAAAGUGCUUUAAGAAUUGCAAUAAUCCGAAAUUUAGUAAACUUUGUAGAUUGUUUUUGUUUGGGUAAACAGUUCGUGGAGACAUAUCAAAUCAUAAUUUAAACAUCGCAAUAAUGUAAUCAUGUAGCUGCAAAGUUACAUGCACAAAUUAUAAGUAAACAGAUACCCAUAGGUUCAAAACCAAAAAGCUUAAUUAAAACUCCCUUUUAAUACUCAAAAAUAAUAAGUAAACUAUUAAGCUAAAAUAUAUCAAAAUAAAAAAUUUAAACAUUUGGAUGUGUUUUUGUAAGAAAACUAUGUAGGGAAACAUAGGUAUAAAUACCUCAAAUUUCCUCAAAUUCGAAGCAAACUUCUGCAAAAAAUAACAAAACACAACUAACUUAGUACCAAAAAAAAGGAAAAAAUACAACAGAAGUAAACAGAGGAUUAUUUAACUACAUUUAGAUUCAAAUCAAUAAUUAUCACAACAAUCAACUUAAUAUGAAUUGAUAAAGUAACACUCAAUAAUUGAAUUGUACGAUUCAAUCAACUGAAGUGAAGAAAUCAGAAGUUGUUCCAAGGUUAAUGUCUCAACUCUCGAGUAACUAACAAACACAUAAAAUUGCCAAUUUCCUAUUAACACUGCAAGUAAUAUUUUAUCUACAAAAACUAAUUUCUUCAAAAAUAUUAACACUGCAAGUAACUAACAAACAAAUACAUAUUCAAUUUAAGUUCAAAAAUAAUUUCUUCGACUCCUUCAAUCAACUAUUUUAUCUGCAAGUAAUAGCUAUAAUAAAAUAUAUUUAUUAAGAAGUAUUUCGAAGAUCACCAUUCUAAAAACUUAUAAUUGAUUUCAACUAUUUGACUCAAGUCAGUCGCUAAUCGUUCAAUCGGAUCGGAUUGGGGUUUUAGGAAGCAAAUGAAAAUGCAACAACAAGGCAUCAAGGCAACACAGAAACAAACCCUAAAAAUUUAUUUCAAUUUUAUCUAAUGCUUCAGUACAUUGUUGAAGUAGUUUAAUCGAAACCCUAAACCCUAAAUAGCUAGGACUGAAACAAAACCCUAAAAAUUCCACGACAAAUACCAAAAAUGGCUUACCUAUUUAAUCGACAAAUCUCGCAGCUUUGCCCACCUUGUUUGAAGAUCGACUCCAACCUAUUUUUUUCCUUCGUAUUUUUCUUUGAAAUUUUCUUCCCUUUCGACACUUCUUUCUCUGCUAACCUCUCUUCAAUUUCCCUCUUUCUGAAUUUGGAGGACGGCACUAGAGAAUUAAUUUAAUGUCCUCUUAAGAAAUGGCACCGUUUAACGUAAUUUUAAGUCAGAGUUGCGGCGUUUUGAGAACAAACGCUGUUACUACAUCGACAUUUGCGGCGUUUUAAUUAAAAACACCACUAAAAUUUCAAGUACAGAAAGAAACGGCGUCGUUUUAUAAAAAUAUAAGGAAACAUUCUGGCAUUUUCCCAAACACACCACAAUUAAUAUAUUAUCUAACCGGCGUCGUUUUCAAUAAAUUUUAUACAUCCUUGCGGCAUUUUUAAUAAAAAGCCACUAAAAGAUUCCAUCCUUCAACUGAAACGGCGCCGUUUUUGCAAAGUUCAAAUAUUAUUUACGGCACUUUUCGGAAAAAAGCCACAACUAAAAUUUAUUCCCUAAGCCGAAACGACGCCGUAUCGGUAAAUGCAAUAAAUAUUUGUGGCAUUUUUAUCAAAACACCGGUAAUGUCUACCUUUUGCGGCGUUUUAAUUAAAAACGCCACUAAAAUUUCAAGUACAGAAAGAAACGGCGCCGUUUUAUAAAAAUAUAAGGCAACAUUCUGGCAUUUUCCCAAAAACGCCACAAUUAAUAUAUUAUCGAACCGACGCCGUUUUCAGAAAAUUUUAUACAUCAUUGCGGCGUUUAUAAUAAAACGCCACUAAAAUAUUCCAUCCUUCAACUGAAACGGCGCCGUUUUGGCAAAGUUUAAAUAUUAUUUACGGCGCUUUUCAAAAAAACACGACAACUAAAACUUAUUCCCUAAGUCGAAACGACGUCGUAUCGGUAAAUGCAAUAAAUUUUUGUGGCAUUUUUUAUCAAAACGCCGCUAAAUCUUACAUAUUUUAUUUAUUUAUUGUAUCAUUCAUUUAAAUAAUUAAUUACCUAUCUAUUUAAAUAAUUAAUUACCUAAAAAUUAAUUUAAAUAAUUAAUUACCUAUUUAUUUAUUUGUUUAUUUAUUUUUUCUUAUAUUUUGGUCCUAUAUAUACAAAUUAAAUAAUUAAUUAACUAUAUAUAUUAUAUGAUUCGUAUCAAAAAUAUCAAAUGGUACUUAGGGUUAAAUGUUUUUAAAUAUACAAGUAUUAAUUAAUUGUAUAUCAUUUAACAAAUCUCAAAUUAUAAACCUUAAACCCUAAAUUAACCAAUCAAUCUACAUGCAUAAAGUGAUCAGUUAUCUAUUAUAUAUCUCUUAAAUAAUAUAAACUAUACUCAAAAUUUCAAUAUAUUAAAUUUAUUAUUAUCUAUUUUACAAAUAUAUAAGAACAUAUUUACCAUAAAAAUUAAUCAAACUAAUUAAUCUAAACUUAAACCCUAACAUGAAUGUUGAAACCCUAAACCUCAAAUCCCUAACCCCUAAACCCGAUCUUGAAUCCCUAACCCAUAACCCCUAACCCAUAACCCCUAAACCUUAUUUAAUAUAUACUUAAAACACACUAAUUAAUCUAAACCCUAAACUCUAACUUGACACUGAAUCCCUAAACCUUAAAUUCCUAACUCUUAACAUCUAACCCCUAACCCUUAACCCAUAAACCUUAAAUCACAUUAACCAUUAAAUCAGAAUCCCUAAUCCACAAUCCUUAAUUCCAUAAUCUAUAAAACUUAAAAUUGUAACUCCUAAACUGGUCUUAAAUCCUAAAUUAACCAUAUAUAUACCCUAAACCAUAUUUAUUAAACCCUAAACUAUAAUGAUAAUUAAAUUAAAUAUUUGAAAAUUAAUAUAUCUUAUCUCUUACAAUUAUAUUUGAAAUUAUUUAGUAUAUAAAUUAAAAAUCAAUCAGUCAUGUACCCAAAAAAUUUUAAAAUUAUGGCUUAAUAAUAGUAUUUUAAUUUUUCUAUUUUUAACAAAUAUUUUUCUAUGUUUUUUAUUUCAAUUUAUUUAUACGUGUCAUUAUUUCAAAUUAAUCCAUUUUUAACAAAUAUUCAUUUAAAAUUAAAUUGAAUUUUAAUUAAUAUAAAUAAACAAAUUAAAUAGUAAUUAAUUCAAUAUUUUAAAAUUAAUACUAUCUCUUUUAUGAUUAUAUAAGAAAUUAUUUAAUAUAUAAACUAAAAAAAUCAGUAAUGUAUCCAAAAAACUUUAAAAUUAUUUUAAAUAAUAGUAUUUUAAUUUUUCUAUUUUUAACAAAUAUUUUAAAUUAUUUUAAAUCCCUAAGCAUUAGCGGCACAUCUUCAAAAACGCCACUAAACAUUAGCGGCGCUUUAUUAAAAACGCCACUAAAUCCACGAAAGCUAAGAAAACGGCGUUGUUGGGCUUAGGUUUCUUUGCGGCGCUUUCCCAAAAACGCCGCUAAAAACCUGAGCAUUAGCUGUGCUUACAUAAAAACGCCGCUAAAUCCCCGAAAGCUCAGAAAACGGCGUCGUUGGGCUUAGGUUUUUUUGUGGCGCUUUAUCAAAAACGCAGCUAAAGCCCUGAGCGUUGGCGGCGCUUAAUUAAAAACACUGCUAAAUCCCCGAAAGCUCAAAAAAUGGCGUCGUUGGGCUUAGGUUUUUUUGUGGCACUUUAGCAAAAACGCCGCUAAAGCCCUAGGCAUUAGCGGCGCUUCCCUAAAAACGCUGGUAAAUCCCCGAAAGCUAAGAAAACGGCGUCGUUGGGAUUAGGUUUUUUGUGGCGCUUUAUCAAAAACGCCACUAAAUCCCCAUAAGCUAAGAAAAUGGCGUCGUUGGGCUUAGGUUUUUUUGUGGCGCUUUCAAAAAAUCGUCGCUAAAGCCCUAGGCAUUAGCGGCGCUUCCCUAAAAACGCCGCUAAAUCCCCGAAAGCUCAGAAAACGACGCCAUUGGGCUUAGGUUUUUUUGUGGCGCUUUCACAAAAAUGCUACUAAAGCCCUGAGCAUUAGCAGCGCUUCCUUAAAAACGCCACUAAAUCCCCCGAAAGCUCAGAAAACGGCGUCGUUGGGCUUAGGUAUUUGGCAACGCUUUCUGGAAAACGCCGCUAAUGCUUAGUUUCAGCGGCGUUUUCUAUGAGGCGCCGCUAAUAAUCGAUCUUUAGCGGCGUUUUUUAUCCAACCGCCGCUAAAAAUGCCGCUAAAAACCUGUUUUGGUGUAGUGUAUUUUGAUACGGUUCUUUACUUUCAAUACUUUUAUAAACUAUUUUCGCUUACAUUAUUUAUGUAUUUAUUUUAUUUGUUUGUUUAUUUAAGUUGGUAUUGUCCUUUUAUAUGCAUGCUUUGGUAUUAUUACCAUUGUUAUUAUUUAUUUUAUUUAUAUUUAGAUUGUUCUUAUUAAUGUUGAAAUAGUGUGCAUUAUUUGAUUCUCGAAAAUUGUCUUUAUUAUUGUCUUUAUUAUUGUCAUUUUAUUAAUGCAACAUUUCAUUCAUGUAUUAUUUUAAAAUAUUACACAUUUUUUUACCCAAUUUUGUAAAAAACAUAAAUUUUUUUAUUUCGUAUUUUGGAAUUCGAAAAGUCGUUCCCUAACUUACGGGGUUUCGAUUUUCUCGAUAGACCCGAAUAACAAACCCCUUUUAAAAAUCUUAAAAAAUUAUUAUCUCGGGAAUAAAAAGAUCGUGUUCUAACUUACGGAAUAUGAUUUCUUUUCUAAAACCGUGAUAAUCAAAUAUUUUUAAAAAUAAACAAAACUUUCGGUACUUAUUCUCUAUUCGGGAUUUAAGAUAUUGUAUCCUAACUCACGGGAUAUAAUUAUUUUUCUCGACUGACGUGAAACACGCCCUUUUCUAAAUUUUUAAAUGAUUUUAACAAAAUGGUCAUAUUUUAAAUCUCGUCAAAAUUUUCAAUUUUCGACAUUAAGAAAUUAAUCAAUUAAUUAGGUACCAAUUUUGGAUGUUACGAGGGUGCUAAUCAUUCCUCAUACGUAACCGACUUCCAAACCUGUUUUUUUGAAUUUCGUAGACCAAAAUUGUUUUAAUAAAUUAAAUUGUUAUGAGGUGACCCGAAAACACCUCAUAAAAAUGAUCAGUGGCGACUCCAAUCUUCAUUUUCGUUUUCAAAAAUAAAAGUCGACCCCUUUUUCAAAAACAAUGGUUUUGACAGCUUGGCGACUCCACUGGGGAAAAAAUAAAAGAGUCAAGCCACAAAUUGAUUUUUUUUUUGUCUUUUUGUCAAAAAUUGAUAAUUUGGUUUAAAUUUAUGAUCCUUUCAUUGCAUUUCAUUUUUGUGAUUUUCAUCAUUUGGAUAUGUCUUAUUUUUGGUUCGAGUCUCUUAGUAUACUUUUGCACAUUGCAUUACAUGACCGUUCGAUUAUACCCUUUUAAGUGGGAGUGAGAAACUAUUCUUUCGUGAGGUCUUCACCUCCGUGCAGGAUAGUGGAUCACUUUCGAGAUACAUCCGUACCUAUGUCUUCGUGAUAUUUUCAUCUCCGUGCAGCCAUAGUGAAAUGUAUUCCCAUGAACUGAACUCGGUCUAUAUGAGCCUAUAAUGACUGAGGAUCGAGGAAUCUGCUGGUUCAGGUCCCUUUGCUUCGAAACCAAACCACAUAUAAUGAGCCCUAAGAGCCUACCCUAAGUAGAACCACGACAAACCCCUAGUGGUCAUCCAAAUAGGUACUCUUUUUAUUAUUUAUGUACUGACGUGUUUUCUUUUGUUUUGGUUAUGAUCGCAUUGCAUUUUAAUAAUAGAAAAAAGGUGUUGAUUCACAUUCAGUUGUUAAAUAGAGAGCUUGUCAUGAAAAAUGGAUUUCUUGAUAAAGUGGAAGACAAUGCGGUCGUCCGAAUAUAGUCCUAGAAAAUAUAACAAGAAAAGGGUAAUAGUCUAAAAAAUGAGUACACGACUUUGCUUCGUCACCCGAGGAUUCAAGCUGACAAAGAUUAUUCGAGAGCCGCCAACGUUCCAACUUCCUUAAGAAGCUAACGAGCAUCACGAGGAUGAGUUAACAAUGGGUCGCGGCUUGGAUCAAGCAAAAAGGAGAUAAACGAGGCACCCUUUUGAAGAGUUCGCGAGAUUCGAUCUUAACAUACAGAUAUGAGGAAAAUGAUUGAUGUCUUCACUCUGAGUAUUAGGGCAAUGUCGUAUAUGUAAAUAUCCAUUUUAUGUAAAGAGAUUUGUUUUGUAGUAAAGUUGUUCUAAUAGAAUUGAAUCAGAAUCAAUACCUCUUUUUUACAUUCAUUUCAUUCAUGUAUUAACAUUGCAUUGCAUCAUAUGCAUUAAAUCUCACAAACGAACCCUAAAAUCUUGGCAGUUAUUCUAGAACAUUGAUACACGAGGAAAAACUAAAGAAAUGGACCAAAGGUUAGAGAGAUUAAUGCAAAUGCAAAUACUAAUGCAAGAGCAAUUGGCCAAAAUUUGGGUAGAAAAGUAAUGUUACGCUUUGAGUAAAGUCAAGUUCAGUCAAAUAACAUGCUUUAUUUUAUUUAAACUCGACCCACGACUAAAUCUAACGUUUCAAGAUUAGAGUGAAAUGGUUGAAUGUAUAUGUGAGCAAAAUUCGAUUCGACUCGAAAAACUCGAUAAAAAAAUUAAAAUUUUCAGUAAAACAUUUCAAGUUAAUCAAGUUAUUCAGAUAAACUCGAAUAAAAAUAUCAAAUUUUUUGGUUUAACUCGAAUGUGAAUUAUACAAUUCAAAUUAUCCGAAAAUCCGACUAAGAAAAUGCAAAACUACGUCGUUUUGAUAAAUAUUUAUAUUUUCUAAGUUAAAAGUCAAAACCUUUAAGUUAAAAGGCAAAACUAUUUCGUUUUGAUAAAUGUUCACCUAUUAAGUUAAAAGCAAAAUCAUUAUAUUGUUUAUGUAGUUAAAUAAUCCUAUACUUUGUCUACUAGUUAAACAAUUGGUCCUUAUAAACACAACAUUGAGCAUAAAUAAUAAGAUUUGCUAACUCGACUCGACUUAACUCGAAAUUUUUUGACUCGACUCGACUCAAGACUCACCUCUUGUUGAAUGAACUCUAAUAAAAUGCAAUAGAAGUUUAUGCCUAAUAAAACUAAAAUUGUUAGUUUGGUAUCCUAUAGACUCCAAUUGAAAUUGCUUUUAAAAGAACAUGUUUUAAAAUUGUUGAAGCACUUGCAAGAGCAACAGCACCAAGUAUUUACAAUUAUGUUGAUAAUUGCCCAAGGUUUUAUAAUUUGUCGUAUUUGAAGUUAGCAAUUUUUUGAAACAAUAUAGCUGGGACAUGAAUUAGUUGGUAUUAUGGACAUGUAUUAGUCCAUAUUUGAAGAUUGAUAUUAUAAAACAACAAGUUUUUAAUGAUCGGAUUUAUUUAAAUCAAGCAAAUUGGAUCUACAGUUUCAUGGAGAUUGAUUUGAAUUGCUUCAAAACAUAUCUUAGAUAUUUUUUAUUUAAAUCAACCAAAUAAUAUUUUUAUAAAAGUCAAUUAAAUCAAAUAAUUAAUAAUAUUUUUAUAAAAGUUAAUUAAAUCAAAUAAUUAAUCCAUAUGCAAUUAAAUUAAUAUGUGAAGUCACUAAAUUAAAAAAUGGAUAACGACUACUUACCCAUUUGAAGUUGUGAGAAGACCAUUGCAAUUGAGUUCCAACACACUAGGCGGGCUAAUUCCUAGAUUGCUACAACUGAGUGGAUAUAAAGCUUUAAUAAAAUCCUCAAAUUUGUUUAUAAAAAAUUUAAUGGUUUUCUAAUUGUGACAUGGGAAGCAACACCAGAACAUAGGGAGUUCAUCUCACAUUUAUGUUUCUAUUCUGUUCUAAAGUUUUAAUGAGUGUGAUUAAGGGUAAGAAAUGGUAGUUGCCUCCGGCUAUCAGACUCAUUGAGCUAAAUACUACAUAUGAUGGUGAUGGGUAGAGGUGCUCAUGGGCUGGGCCAGGCCCAAAAAAAUUCAGCCGCUUCCUAAGACCAAGCCUGGCCAGGCCCGAAAUAUGAGCUUAAAAUUUUGUCGAGGCUCGGGCCCGACCCGGCCAGGCCUUCUUUUUUUUACUUACUUAAAACUAAUUGUUAUUAAAAUUAUAUCAAAUAUAAAAUUAUAUUUUUUUUUGUAUUUAAUGAACAAAAAAAUAAAAUAAGAUUACUUAUUUUUAACAUUUUCAAAUUGACAUUUAAACAUAAAAUAAUAAUCUAUGAAUAUGGGGCGCGUUUAAAAAAUUACCAACUAAUUGAAUUUAAAUGUUAUUUAAUCAAUUCUUUAAAGAAGAGAAUAAAAAUAAAAAAUGAUUAUACAAGUAAUUACAAACAAUUAACUCGAAUUUAAUUACUUUUAACUUUUUAACUUAAAUAUUUUAAAGUUUAUCAUAUCAUUACAUUUUUAUGCUUUUAAAGGAUAAAAAUAUCAAAAUUGAUCCAUAUUUGUGAGCCCCUACUAUAUAAUAUACACAGUUUGGUGGAUUUCUUUUUAGACAAUCAUAUUUCUGUUAGGUUCUAUAAAAAUGCCAUCCCUCAUGCUUACACUCAAGUUCAGUUAUGUUGAGUUAAAAUAAUAAUAAUUUUAUUGAUUCGACUCUCAAACUUGUAACUUUAGACACCAAACGCAUAGAAAACCUUAACUUAAAUCAGCAAAAAGAAAUAGACCCAAACCUUAACAUUCCAUACUCAUUAAAUGCAACGAUCAAAAUAUAAAAAAACAACCCAUACCCGUCUUUCAAACCUCCCCCUCCAUUUUUCAAAAUAAGAAAAUCUCUGUUCUUCUGCCUCAAUAGUCAAUAGCUUGUUUCUACAAUAAAACAAAUCAUAUUACUACACUUUAAUAGUUUUGGAUGAAAUAUGAUAAAAAUAAUUAAUUUCAUAUAACCUAAUAACCCAAUAAAAUAUGUGGCUAUAUUUUUCGAAAUAUAGCCUAUAAACCUUGAAACAAAUCUGUAAACAAUACUUUCAUGCCUAUAAAAUAUGUAAACCCAUUUAAUUUCUUGCAUAUGGAAAAAAGAGGGUAUACCUUUAACUCCACAUUUUGCAUCAUCAAAACCAUUUCUUGCAUGAAGUUAAGAAACCCUGUUAUAUAAUUCAUAUCAGUACCGUAUAGAUUAAUAUCACAUAUGGGAUUUUUCUAAUAAAAAAUAACAGAUGCCUCACUUCAUCAUCAUCGUCUGCAAGUAGACCCAACAACCCAGCGUCAUAAAUCUUUCUCUUUCCUUUAUCCGACAAAACUGCAUAAUUAUAACAAAAACUCUCCUUUAAUUAAGUUUAUCUCUGUGAUUAUCUAUUUAAUAAACAAACAUUAAAAAAAGAACACAAAUAACCCACCUGAAUAAGCCUCUUGAAUCUGUUGAAAUCGUUUCUUAGCUUCACCUGAUACAUUGGGGUUUUUCAUCCAUCUAUCAGGAUGCCAUUUCUUUCAAAAUCACAUGCACAAAUUACAAAAUGAAAGAGAACCCAUUAGUUUACAUUAAUCAAGGAGUCAAGAAAAGUUGACAUAAUUAUAAAGUAUAUAUAUACGAAAGCCUGUUUACGAUAAGCUUCACGAAUUUCAGAAGGGGAAGCUUGUUCACAAAUUCCAAGCACUGAAUAAUAACAAGUUCCAGAUUUCGACAUUUUUCACCACCACCACCACAACAAACAGCAAUGAAGCUGUUUGGAUUUUAUAAAAUGUGGAGUCAAAGGUAUACCCUCUUUUUUCCAUAACCUAUAAACCUUGAAACAAAUCUGUAAACCCAGUUACAAACACAUCAUUGGCUAAGGCUUAUAUAUACAGUAAAGAUUAAAGAAAGAAAAAUAUAAAGAAAACUAACUAAAUGUCUAAUGAGAAUUUAACCGAAUAAACUAGGGGUGCGUUUGGUUCGCUGUAUUGGAUUAGAGGUGUAUUGGAUUAGAGGUGUAAUAACAAAUCAACUGUUUGGUUGAAUGUAAUGGAAUAGAGGCGUAAUAGUAAUCUUGUGUUUGGUUGAAUGGAAUAGAGGUAUAAUAGCAUAAUGAAAAAAACAAAAAUGACUAGAAUACCCUUAGCAUAAAUUUGUUUUGGUAAAUGAUUAUUGUUAUUGUUAUUUAAAUUUUAAUAAGAUUAUUAUUAUCAAUAAUAAAUAUUUUAAUCAUAUUUAAACAUAAUUAUUAUUAAAUAUAUUUUAAUUAAAAUAUAUAAUUUAAUAAAAUUCUUAAUAAUUAGCAGAAAUUCGUUUUGGUAAAUUAUUAUUGUUAUUGUUAUUUAAAUUUUAAUAAGAUUAUUAAUAUCAAUAAUAAAUAAUUUAAUCAUAUUUAAACAAAAUUAUUAUUAAAUAUAUUUUAAUUAAAAUAUAUAAUUUAAUAAAAUUCUUAAUAAUUAAUAUUCUUAUAUGAAUUGACUCAAAUCAUAAUAUAUGAAUUGGACCAAGCAAACAUACAUUGUAUGGCUCAAAAGUAGAAGACAAGAAUUUUAUUUAUUUAUUUUUUAAUUUGGAAAAUAAAUUUUUGUUUACUAAUUUGACUGUUUUUUAAAAAAAGUAAAAUUUAUAAACCAAGAAAUAUAUCAUUUCUUAAAAAUUUUGAAAUUCAUAUCGUAAUUUGUUAUUAUUGUAACUUUCAGAAAUAAUAAAUUGGAGAUCUGGUUGACAUAACUUUGACUUCUUAUAAAGCAUUCAAGGAUGACUUUUUUUGGGUUUGAGAGAUCAAAUUAUUUGUUUGAUUUAAAGAAAUGCAAUGCCUAAAACAUUAUAUUCAGUGUUGGAUUCAAUUUUUAUUUAAUUAAAAAAAAAACUUGGGAAAUGAGUUUAGCUAGCUUAAGCUAUUCCAUGGCUGCUUAUGAAUCUUCUAUAUGCUAAAGCUUAUAGAUUUGUACCAUGCCAUAAACAGCUCAUGGUUUUGCUCUUCAGAAUUGGAGACAAAUGUGUCCUUUUUAAACUUUAAUUGAUUUUUUAAGUUAUACAUUAUAAUAAAUGGUAAGGCUUCUAGGAUUGAAUUUCUUUGACUGGACUACCACAAAGAUAUACAUACAUUACAUGGUACUAUUACAAACAGGGUGGGGAGAGAAAGAGGAACCAUUACUCUCUUUUUUUUUUUUUGUAGAAAUCAUUGCCCCACACACCACUAGUAGACAAUUCCCAUUAUCUGAUCCCAUAAAUUGGGCAUCAGAAUGAACACCCAAACGAUGAGGCUCAAAGGAACCAAUACUAGAAUAUGAGUUAUUCAUUCUAUGUUUAACAUUCAAGAAUUAAGUCAACCUGAAUCGGAGCAAAAAGAAUUACAGCUUCUCCACAGGAAAACCGGUAACAGGACUUAUCUCCGAUGCCAGUGACCGUAGCUCAUCCACUUCUUCGUUGCUUAGUCUCUAGCCAAGGGCACCUACAAAUUCCUUAGCUUGUGCAGCAUUUUUGGCUCCUAGGAUUGGCACAACAUUCUCCUGUGCUAUUAACUGUAGAAAUCAGAGUAUUUGAUACUAAAUAGAACAUAAAUCAGAGUUUUUAUAUACAACCUAUGACACUACUUUAGGAAACUCUAAGUUAGGAAAGAUACUAAAUAGGAGAUAUGAUCCCUUAAAAUAAGGGAUUUUAAUAAAGAAAAUAUCUACAAAAUAUUCCUAAAAUAUUUACAGAAUAUUCCUACACUCCUCCUCAAGCUGGAGAAUAUACAUUGUAUAAUCCCAGCUUGAAUAGGAAUUUAUUGAACACAGGUUUUGGCAAAGCCUUGGUAAGAAUGUCUGCAAUCUGUCCUUCUGAAGGAAUGUCUUUUUGUUGACUUGAUCAGCAAUAAAAUGCCUAUCAAUUUCAACAUGCUUUGUUCGGUCAUGUUGAACUGGGUUCUUGGCAAUCUGAAUGGCAGAUUGAUUAUCACACAAAACUUCAAAGUGAUCCUCCUGAUUUGUGCCAAGUUCUUUUAGUAAUUUAAGUAGCCAAAUUCCUUCGCAUAUCCCCAAAGCUAGUGCUCUAAAUUCAGCUUCAGCACUACUUCUUGAAACAACAGAUUGUUUCUUACUUCUCCAAGUUGUAAGGUUACCCCAAACAAAAGUGCAGUGCCCACUAGUGGAUCUUCUUUCAGUGAGAUCUCCAGCCCAACUAGAGUUUGUAAAAAUCUUAACAGUUCUGUCUCGUGUCUUCUUAAACAUUAAGCCGUGUCCUGGAGUUUUCUUCAAGUACUUGAGAAUUCUAUUUGCUGCUGCCAUAUGCUCUUCAGUAGGAUUAGUCAUGUGUUGACUUAUCACAUUUACGGGAAAAGCUAUAUCUGGCCUUGUCAAGGAUAAGUAGAUUAGUUUCCCAACUAACCUUUGAAAUUUCUCUCUGUCUACUAAGGACUCAUCUUUUUUAUUGAAUCUCAAGUUUGCCUCCAUUGGUGUAUCAGCCGGCUUACAGCCAAGAAAACCAGUUUCUUUGAGUAAAUCAAGUACAUACUUUCUCUGGUUGAUCACAAGUCCUUUUGAUCUUGCCACCUCCAUUCCUAGGAAAUACCUUAGCUUUCCCAAGUCCUUGGUUUCGAAUUCCCUGUUUAACAACUUCUUCAAAUUACUAAUCUCUUCCUCAUCAUCUCCAGUAAGAAUGAUGUCAUCCACAUACACAAUUAGGAUAGCUUUCUUAUUUGUAGAAGUUACCUUGAUGAAAAGCGUAUGAUCGGCAAGGGACUGCUUGUAGCCAUUUUGAAGAAUGACUUUAGUGAACCUCUCAAACCAAGCUCUGGGUGAUUGUUUUAACCCGUAUAGAGACUUGUUGAGCUUGCAAACCUUGUUGCUACCUUCAAUAGACUUUGAGCCAGGUGGCAAUUGCAUAUAGACUUCUUCCUCAAGCUUGCCAUUAAGAAAUGCGUUUUUUACAUCAAGUUGGUGUAAUUUCCAAUCGCAAUUUACAGCCAAACUUAGGAGUACUCGAAUAGUGUUAAGCUUUGCCACAGGUGCAAAAGUUUCUGUGAAGUCUAUCCCAUAUGUUUGCGUGAAACCUCUGGCCACUAGUCUAGCUUUGUAUCGUUGGAUACUGCCAUUGGAGUUAUACUUUACAGCAAAGAUCCAUUUACAGCCGACAGCCUUUUUUCCUUGAGGAAGGUCUGUAAUGGUCCAAGUAGCAUUUUUCUCUCGUGCACAAAUUUCCUCUUCAACAGCCCUUCUCCAUUUUGGAUCCUUUAGAGCUUCAGCUAUGCUUGUGGGAACCUGUUCUUUAUCCAAAGUUGUUGUAAAUGCUUGAAAAGACGGCAUCAAUGAAUUAUAACCAGUAAAUUUUUCAAUAGGAUGCUUGGUGCACUGUCUAACCCCUUUUCUAAUAGCAAUAGGAAAGUCAUCUAGAGUAGUGGACUUACUGAUUUCUUCUUCCAUUUCGGCAGCUGGACCCAAAUCCAAUUCUCGGCAAGAAUCAGAUUGCAAAACAGUCUCAGGGAUAUGUCUUCUUUUUCUUGUGUAGACACGAAGCUGUUUGGGUGAUGGUGUUUUUUGAAGACUGUCAAUUGGAGUAGGUGUAUUUUCAGGAAGAGUGUUUAAAGUGGGUGUAGGUGAAUUAGUCAUAGGUACUACAGGAGAAUCAAUGGGAGCAUUCACAGGUGACAGAUCUGCAGGUAAUGGCGAACAAGAUGGCAAUUCUGAAGGUUGAGAAUGAAAAUUAGAAGGAGAUACCUGUUGUGGCUGAAAAUUACUCCAUGUUUCCCCCUGAAUUUCAGCCUGAGUGAAAUAGGAAUCCUGCUCAUAAAAUGUUAUAUUCAUAGUGGUGAAAAAUCGUUUAGAAGGAGGAUGAUAGCAUUUAUAACCCUUCUUAAGUGAAGAAUACCCAACCAAUACACAUUUUAAAGACUUAGGAUCUAACUUGGACUUAUUAGGAGCAAUAUUUUGGAUAAAAACAGUGCAGCCAAAAAUUUUAAGUGGCAGAAUGGACGAGAUAGGCUUAAAAUGAGGAAAGUGCUGCAAAAAUAUAGAUUAAGGCGUUUGAAAUUUUAAAACCUUACUAGGCAUCCGGUUGAUUAAAUAUGUGGCAGUUAAUAAGGCUUCCCCCCACAAAUAUUUAGGAACAUUAGUGGUAAAUAGAAGAGAACGAGUAAUUUCAAGAAGGUGCCUAUUUUUUCUUUCGGCAACGCCGUUUUGCUGUGGGGUUCCAACACAAGAACUAAUCUGAACUAUGCCCUUUUCCUUAAAAAAAUCACCUAAAGACCUAGCAAAAAAUUCACUGCCAUUAUCAGAUUUAAAGAGCUAGAUUUUAGACCCAAAUUGAGUGAGAACCAUGUUAUAAAAUUGCACAAAAACACUAGCAGUUUCAGAUUUAUCUUUCAGCAAAUAAGUCCAAGUUAUCCUACUGUGAUCAUCAAUAAAAGUGAUAAACCACUUACAAUUAUCAGCAUUCUUCACCCGAGAAGGGCCCCAAAUAUCACUAUGGAUCAAAGCAAAAGGGUAAGAAGGCUUGUAUGUAGAAGGAAAAUAAGAUGAUUUAGUAUGUUUGGCAAGAGAGCAAACUUUGCAAGAAAAAGAAUUAGGCCUUUUAUUAAUGAAUAGAGCAGGAAACAAUUUUGCAAGGUAUUGGAAACUAGGAUGGCCUAAACGAAAGUGCCAUAACAUAACAGUAUCAACUUUUCCUAAAGCGGUAAAUGACUUGGAGAUCUCGAUUUUAGGAGAGGUAGGGAGGAUGUAGAGACCAUUAUGCAAGCUGGCCUUACCAAUCAUCUUCUUCGAGUUCAGUGCCUGCAAAGUACAAUCACGAUCAUUAAAAAUUACAGAGCAGUGCAAGUCUGUGGACAAUUUACUAACAAAGAUGAGAUUGCACGCCAGAUUUGGUACAAAGAGAACAUUUUUAAGUGCAAUCUGUUCAUUGAGAAUAACAGUGCCAUGUCCCUCUAUUUUGCACAAGGUACCAUCAGCCGUUUUGACAGCUUUACCAAAGGUAUGGAAAAAAUUGUGAAACAAUGCCUUGUUACCAGUCAUAUGAUCCGUAGCACCAGAAUCGAGGAUCCAAUUAGGAGUCAACUGGGAGGAGAAAAAUGCAAUAGAAGAAAGGUUACCAGAUUACCUUCACAAGACCCUUCAAGAAAAUUGUUGCCAUUCAAUCGAUGGCAGGUGAUAGUCAGACCAGACGAAUCUGAAGGAGCAUCGGAACCAGAAAAAUUUUCUGGAUUUGAAGUAAUCUCCGAAGUAGGAGAAGGAGUUUCGGACAUGGUCUAGGUUGAAAAAAAAAUCGUAACCUAAGCUGAUACCAUGUAGAAAUCAGAGUAUUUGAUACUAAAUAGAACAUAAAUCAGAGUUUUUAUAUACAACCUAUGACACUACUUUAGGAAACUCUAAGUUAGGAAAGAUACUAAAUAGGAGAUAUGAUCCCUUAAAAUAAGGGAUUUUAAUAAAGAAAAUAUCUACAAAAUAUUCCUAAAAUAUUUACAGAAUAUUCCUACAUUAACCAGUUGAGCACCACCUGUAGUAAAAAAAGCUCAUUUCAUAAAAGAUCUCAGCACAUUUUAAAAUACCCCAUCGAGUAGUUGCAACUCGAGAUGAAAAAGUAUGAGAAGAAAACAGCCUGUUUCCACCUAUUUGUGACAACUUCCAGAUGUGUAUCUAAAAGUUACAGGGGAGAUGAUACAUAGAUACCAAAUUAGGAUAAUGCCAUCAAAGAGGACUUAAAGCACUUGCGAAGCUUUGUGGUUUUUUCUCAUCUCAUUGUGAUCUUAGUGCAUGACUGCAUAUGUUGUUUGGUCGAGGAAUGGGUCAUGGAAAUCAAAUAUACUUUAAAGAAGACAACUUCUGUACCAAUUAUUUCACCAACUUGAGCCAAGAUUUUCCCAGCUAGUGUAGGCCAUGAUUAUGAGGUUGUUGUAGACGGACUAGUGUCCAUGGUUGUAAUUAAGCUGAGUCACAUAUUGUGCAAUGAAAAGAAAACGCCAUCCAAGCCUAAUGCCUAAAGAUGUUGGGUGUCCAAUGGGCAGCACAUGAAAUAUCGAGUUUCUAAUGCACUUGUCUUUUUGCUAAGUGCUAUUAAUAUGACCAUAAUAUUGAAGCAACAGAUCUAUCAACAGAUUUAAGCAUAUAUAUAUAUACAAGCAAAAGAACAAGAACAAACCUGUGUUGGAGUUUUCCCAUAGUUCCCUCCUAUUUCCUUAAUUCUGAUAAGGAGAGGUUGGAGCUGUAUAUUUAAAAAGACCUUAGCAAUCAAGUCUGAAAUUAAAAUUGGGAUACGAAAUACUCAAGAGACAUACCUUAGUUAAAAACUCCGGAGUGUAAAUCCGGCCUCUAGGUCCAGAUGGCGGAUUUUCUGGUUUAUAUUUCCCGAUAAGGGCACUUGAAACAAAGAUAUGGCACCCUACUCGUGUUAAAAAGAAUAUAUAUGCCAGACUCAGUUUAUGCAUUUGACAUUAGUUCUUGUUUCCAAACUCUGAUUAUUUGACUUUGUGUACUACAUUCCACCUUCGGUGAGAUUUUAAAGUAACACCAUUGUCCUCAAUGAAAUUCAAGACACAUACCUUCCCAGUAGAGUUUCAGAAUUUUCAGCACCUAAGGCAAGCUGUGAAAAAGGAAUCAUCAACGAUAUUCUUCCAUAAAUAAAGUAAAUAAAUUGAUUUAUAGAUGAUCUCGUGUUUUACCGGAGAGCCAUAAACUUCAGCUGUAUCGAAAAACGUAAUUCCGCAAUCAAGACUUCCAUUGAAAGCAGCCUUAGCAGCCUUCAAUUUCUGAUCUGCUUCCACAGCAAGUACAAAUCAAUCAGAUAUGCAGAAAGCAUAAGCAACAAAUGCAGACCAAGAGCUCCACAUAGAACAUUCUCAACACAUCACUUUGUGGCAGUUGUACAAAUCAAAUCUAACACUAAACCUAGUAAUUGGAAGAAAACAAUAAAUCAAUAGUUCUAAUCCAAGAACCUGCCAGUAUACAAGGGAUACAAAUAUAUAAACUUAAUUAGAGAGAAAAAAAAGAGUAAAAUAAUCCAAAAUCUAGAUAUCAAACAACCUUUUAACUUUUGAACCAUACAAACACGUUACACAAGCAAGAAAACGCUGAAUUACAUUAAAAUAUUGGGGGGAAGAGAAGAAGAAAAAACCCAUUAUUCUGUUAUUUUCAUUUUAUGAAAUUACUUACACAAAACACCAUAAAAAUAAGCAAAAAAUCAAAGAAAAAUGAGCUGAAAAAUGUAAAAGUUUACCAUCCCAUUGAAAGUUGUUCCAGUAACUGGUGUCACCCCAAGACCAUGCUCCGAUUCCGAGCCUUGUCACUUUGAGCUCCGAUCCUCCUAACUUCAAUUUGUCUUCUGUAUCUGUUUUGAGAGCAGCGGUAGUGGCAAAAUCCUCGGAAGCAACCGCUCUUAUUCGGUUGGGUUUCUUGCAACUCAAAACUGAGAAACAGGCACUGCUGACAUUCAUGGCCAUUGAUGAUAUUCCUUUGGAACUCAAGGGCAAAUUCUGUACAAGCAAUUCCUAACACAAAUAAGAUUUUAUUUUACUUUUCAAAACAAAAUAUAAUUAUUUAUUUUUGCUGAAGAAUUUUUAUAUCCAGUGGAAAGUAAAGUAUCCACAGAAAAAUUUCAAGACACGUACGUAGUUUAGCAAGCAUCCACAGGAAUGUUAAAUACAGAUAGCCAUUAAAACUCAGUACAGAGAGAAGAAGAGAGUUAGAACAAUUACAAGAUAAUUGAGAGCAAAAGAGAGUUAGAAACCUUUACCUUUCAGUAGCAGUAACACCAAUUGAGAGCAAUGGAAGGAGUGACACAGAGAAAAAGAAAAGAAAAAGGUCGACUGGUUGGCAAAUCGAAAGAGUGACUGGUUGUAAAGAAAAAGAAAAGAAAAGGUUGAGAGACAGAGGAAGAGGCGAAGGAAUGGGGAAGCCAAUCGGGAGGCAAAGGUAGAACGAAGGUAGAACGAAGGAAGAGGCGACGGAAUGGGGAAGCCAAUUGGGAGGGUAAAACAGGGAGGGUAAACCAUGCAGCACCUAAUCUGAGCAGAAGGGCUGUAUUACAAAUCGGUGGUUUUCACCGAUUAGAUCUGUAUUGUAUUACACGCGUAUUAGAAACACAUUCAACCAAACGAUGGAAUAAAGAUGUAUUAGGUGGGGCCCACCGAUUAGGACAUAGUGUAGGAUUCUAGAUCAAUAUAAUGCUGUCACUCUUGUUACAGUGUUAAAAGAUUCUUAAUUGAAGUGGACGAUGUUCAUAACUUCAUAUGUUUCAAUCAUCAUAUAAAUCAGAUUCUUUGAUUUGUCUGUAUUUAACCAUAUUAAGAUUUAACAGAGAGACAAGCAUGGCCUCCCUUGUUAAAGGCAUUAAUGUUCAACUUAUUUGCUAUUUCCAUGGUUCGAAGAGUUCCAAUGGAAAAGAAAACCAAACUUUUUAUUCCAGAGGAUAAGUAAAAGUAUUAAAAAAUACAAAGGGGACAAGACCCAGAAAUCCAAGUUAGAAAGCCACACAAGCACUUUAAUAAAGAAAACUAACUAAAUGUCUAAGUAACAUACGGUAUCAUGGAUCUUCAAUAGUCUAGGCCCUAGGGUUAACACUGUUAAUAAAGAAAACUAACCUCUGAUUCUGGAAAUGGGUGGAGCCGUAGAGGACCGGAGGUGGAUUGGUGCCGGAGGUGAAUGGUGAGAAAAAAGGAGAGGAGGGCAGUCGGGCAAGGGGUUAGGGAUUUGUGGAAGAAGGGAAACGGGAAAUGGGGGAAAUGGGUGGAACCGUGGAGGAUUGGAGGUGGAUCGUUGCCGGACUGGAGGUGGAUCGAUGUCGGAGGUGGAGGUGGAGGUUGAGAAAAAAAUAGAGGGCAGUCGGUGGUAGGGAUUUCUGGAAUAGGGGAAACGGGGAAAUAGGGGAAAUGGGGAAGAAAAUCAAUAAAUGUUUUAAAAAAAUAAAAAUAUAUUAUUUUCGGGCCGGGAGUGGGCCAAAAAAGUUUUGCCUCAGGCCCAGCUCAUUUUUUAAACGGGCCUCUUUUUUCUGCCCAAUCUCAUAUUUCGGGACUAUAUUUUUACCUGAACCUUCUUAUAUUUCGAGAGGGGCCGUCAGGCCGGGCCGCCCGGCCCAUGAGCACCUCUAGUGAUGGGUGGGGCUAGAUUAGUUGGAGUCUAGGUUGAUUUUAUACGUGAUAUUAAUAUUAUAUAUAAUUAUUUAAAAAUAAUAUGGUCCUAUAAACCUCAAAUUAUACUAAAUUUGUCCAUAUCAAUAUAUAAUUAAAACAAAUUUGCCGUAAGGCAUUUGUCAUGGUGGAUCACUUGAAUACUUCACAGCAAAUGACAACCAGCUUAUUGGGCUAAUCCUUCAAGGGUUGAAAUUUUGCACUAGCUUGAAGAAAGUCCGCCUUGAAAAAAUCUGACUCAGAGGGAAUAUAUCUAAAUAUUUAGGUGUUUACCUGAACCUAAAAUUCAUUGACUUGACAAUGAAUUUCAAGUUGUAGUGUCUUUCUAUUAGGGGUUGUGCAAAAGUUGAUAUCUUUAUUUUAUCUUGGUUUGAAUGGAAAUAAACUUUCUGGCAGUGUACACUUGGAACUAGGACUUAUGUCCAAACAUUUGUAUCUGGACUUGUCUGCAAACCAAUUGAGCAAGUCCAUCAUUGAAACUUUCAGGUUAAAAUAAUCGGCUAAAUAUCUCUAUUAGUACUUGUAUUUUAUGAAAGUUGCGAAUUCAAUCCCAAUGCUUUAAAUUGAGUUGGGUUUAUAAAUUAUACUAGAUUAGGUUUAUAUUGGGUAGGACUUAUAUAGGGGUGUUGGGGUGAGCCGCUGGUUGGGGAUUAAGUGGGCAGUAGGCUAAGCCUAAUACAUAUAAUACAUUAUAUUAGUUAUUAAGUUCGAUUAAUUUGGUUAAUUACUUGCUUUCGAGCCAAAUUAACCGAUAACUGAGCUUUCAAAAAAUUAUUAACCAAUCUUUGAUCGAAUUAGAUUAGUUAAUUGACCGAUUAAUUUUAACUUAAAUUUGAACACUCCUAAAUCUGUUACUCCAAUAUGAUGAUCUUUAAAUUAUUUUUUUAUAAAUGUAUUUGUUUCAAUAUAAUAUAUAUUUAAAAUGGUUAAAAAAGUAUGAAUUUGUCAAAUUCAUAUAUACCUUAGGAACCAAAAUCUACUAGUUAGUAGGAAUCCAACAAAUUAUUGUUUUUAAGAAAUAAUCCUGAAUGUUAUAUUUUGUAUAUAUGUUAUCACUCAAUUUGCAUAUAUAUAUUUUUUAAAUUCAAAUCCAAAAUUUAAAACUAAGUUCCCAAACGCUACAUAAAUUGGAUAGUAAGUUACUUCCAAAUAUAACAUUCAUUACUAUUUCUAAAUCCAUCGAUUUGUCAAGUCCUUAUUUAGUAGAAAAUUCAAAUUUCUUAAAUUUAGGGCAAAUAUGCAAAAUUAAAUUUACCACUAUACUUCCCUCCAUCAAUAUUUUAAAAUUUUAAAAUUAUUCAUAAGGCUAAAAUAACAAUUUUUUAUUUUAAGAGUCCGACCCCUUGCCAACCCCUUGGAUUCGCCUCUAACCAUGAAAGUUUAAUUUACUUUUCAAAUACAUUUAUUUAAUUUAAAAAAUAAAAAUUCAAACCUCGUAAUGAGUAUUAUUUGAAGGGCAAGCGAGAUGGCCUUAAGAAAACUGAAUAAAGUGCAAAAUCACAAUACUAUAUCAUUUUAACUUUGUCAAUAUUUCCGUAUCCAAAAAGAAAGCACCCAAUUACAUCAACAACUUCAAAGUUUUAAGCAAAAUAAUUAACGAUCUCUCUUCACCUUCACCAUCAACAUGGGUCUUGACUCAACUCCAUGCACCAACACGUUCCAGUUGAGGCCUAAAAGGGAGGGGAAAAAAAUCUGAGAUUAGAAAUAUAAUUUUAUAUUAAUGUAGCGGAAAUUAAAGGCUUAAGGGGCAAAAACCAAAAAAGUCCCCAACACUUUUCCAAAAAAAUCAAUUGAACCCCUAGACGUUAGAAUAAAUUAAGCCCUUUUAUCAUUAAAGUUAUCCAUCAAAGUUACAAAGCCAAAAGUGCCAUUUUUUGCUGGUUGUUUUCACCACAUGGCAAAAACUAGUAUUUAAUGUAUAAAACAUUAAAAAAAUCAACAAACAUUUAUAAAAAGUCAUAGAAUAUCGUAUAAUAUAUAUUUUAUAAUUUUCUAUUGAUUUAAUAUAUAAAAUACAUGUUUUUACCACAUGGUCACGUGGCCAAAACAGCCUGAAGAAAACCAGCACCCUUGGCUUUGUAACAUUGACCGUUAAACGGUCAAAGGGCUUGAUUGAUUGAUUGUAAUUCAAACGUUCAAGGGCUCAAUUGAGUGAAAACAAAAAAGUUCAUGGAGCUUAAUUGAUUUUUUGAAAAAUUAUGGGGGCUGUUCUUUACCCUUUAGCCAAAAUUAAAGUAUAUUUGAUUGAUAUAUAAUAUAAUCAUUCUGAUACAUAAAAUUAAUAAUUAAAAAUAUAUACACAUAUCCAUCAGCAGACCACAUCAACAGGCACCAAAUGAGCCCUAAAAAUCAACAUUGUUGUUAAUAAUAAUAAAAGCUUCCAUGACCUUUUACAGCAAUCAAAAGUGAGUAAGAUUAUUAUUAUUAUUAUUAUUAUAACUCACAACUACCAACAAAACAAACACGUCGGAGAAACGAUCUCCAUAAUCUAUUAAUGGUUUUUCGGAUAUACAUCUGCAGUCUGCAGCAUUGAUCUUCAUAUGUAAUUCAUUCCAUUUUCAUUUUUGACUUCUUACGUGUUGGAGCUUCAUCAGUCAAGCACACAAGAACAAAAUCAAAGAAAUGAGGAAAAAACAAUACAGAUAUAAUUAUCACUCCCAAACCUUCUUACUUUCCAAGAAAACAUACGAUACAAAACCGAAAAUAGGAUGGCAAAAUAUUUAACAAGAAUUUCCAAAUAAACAUUUUUGUUCCCUACUAAUUACUUUUUCUCUACUUCAAAUUCACUAGUUGUAGGACUAAGUAGUUCCCAUUUAUUAGAGUUCUAUUCUUAAGUAAUAUUUUGUCCACUCUUACUGAUUUCAACAAGCUAAUAGCUCACUUAGUAAUAACAUUCACCAUCUCAAAUCAAAUUCAGCCUAUUGAAUAAAUCUAUCCUCACUUAGUAAUAGUUAUAUUUUCUGCACUUUCAUCUUGCUUCUUAUCAUAUGUAUGUUGCAAAAAUUUCUGUUCAGUAAGAUGAGGAAACCUUGUAAACCAGUAAAACAAGAUGUUGCAAGAAGACAGAAAGGAAGACUAAAAGGAACAAGUGCGGUGAUAAAGGUUGUACGUUCCCGAGGCCAGUUAAAUCAUGAUGAUCGUACCAAUCGUACAGAAUUUCUUGAGAGCCAAAACUUCAUCUCUGGGACAACUGUAUAGCCUUUUCGAGUGAAGUUAAAAGGGCUAGGAAUGUAUUAGGAAAGCACUAAUAUGAAAGUAAAACCAAUCAUGAGUAGUGGGAGAGACGGAGGUUAUCAAAAGUAAUUGGGGGGGGGGGGGAAUGAAAGUCAAGUAGAAGUUACAACCUAAGUAAUAGUUUGGUCAUAGGUAGGCCUGCUCACAAGUCGAGCCUAGACAGGAUACUAACACCUUUCACAUUUGGCUAGGCCCCUGACCCAGCACAAAAUAUGGGCAAUAUCAUUCGACUAGACCCAACCCUAAUUACCAAAAGGGAGCCAUGCUUGCCCCAACACAACCCAUCCAAUUUCUUUUUCUAAUUUUAUUUAACUGGCAGUCAAGCUUUACUUUGUUUACUUAUCGUUCAAGCUUAUCAUAGUCCUUAUCAAUAUUGGCAUUUCUACGUGUGAUAUCCAUCACCGACAAAAGGACAUCAUUUUACUAAAUGUUCACUUGCCUAUAGGUUCUACGCGUGAUAUCCAUCACCGACAAAAGGACAUCAUUUUACUAAAUCUUCACUUGCCUAUAGGUAAUGACCUCACUCUGAUAUUUUAGGCAGAAACAUUGUGAUAGUCUGCCAACUUCCUAAGUAGGAAAUUAAGCCUUUAUUUAGAUCAGGAUAUUUUAUUUUCUUGUUGGAACAAAAAACUAGAAGCAACUAUUGGGGGUAAGGCAAGACGGAACUUGAGUUCUAGUUCUCCAAAGGUGCUAGGAGCCUCGUACCCAUUUAAAACAACAAAUAGAGCAGACAUUUUCACACAAUGCAAAUCCGACACCUGAUUCGUCUACUCCAUACCUUACCAUUACUAAAGUUUUAUACAGGAAGUUCCAGGCUCACUAUCAACUUCUUAGCGACAGCAAGAGCAAACAAAAUGCAAUGACAAGCAGUAUUGGCAAAUGAAAAAUCCGUCAAUUUACAAGGAUGGGAAUAAUUAAGAUGUGGUAGUGAUGUGAAGGGGGCACUAACCUUCAUUUAGAGUAAACCAAAUGUCAUGGCAAGCAGCAUUGGCAAAUGAAUAAUUAUGAUGUAGUAGUGAUAUGAAAGGGGCUCUAACCUUCAUUCAGAAAAACCAUAUACUAGAAAUAUCUUCGGGAUAUGGAACAGUGAUGGCAGAUUGAUGCUCUGCAGCUGCAUGAAUCCCUCCCCCCUCGUUGCACCAAAUAUUAAAUCUUAUGUACUCAAAAAUAUCGAGAUGGUUGACCCAACCCGAAAUAAGCUUGCCAUUGCCCAAACGAUACAGAGCAGGGAUUUAAAUAGCGGUCCGUUACCGAAAUAGCGGCCGUUAUAUAGCGGUAACGGCACCGUCCGAAACCGUUACUGCCGAAACCCGCUAUACCCGCAAUACACAAUAAGUAAUGUAAAAUUCACGACCGCGAUACCCGCAGUGACCGCAAUAGCGUCCGUUAUGUCCGCGACCGCGACAAACGCGACGCGACCGAAAACGCGACCGCGACCGCAAUUUAAAUCCCUGAUACAGAGUGCUUUCCGGUGGUGGAGCCACUGGAAAUUCUGAUGACCAUUUGACGGGCAAAUGUUUCUUAUCAAGCAAAUUAUACGCCUCCAAAGAACAUUUAUAAAUGAAAGUAUGCAGCACAUCGUCCACAAUUGCCGCUGAGUCAGACCAGUAACAAAAUUUUUGUUCGAGGCAAACCCAUGAUUUACGAUCAUAGUAAUAAGCGUAAAGAGUAUCACUGGCAUGGCAGUGCACCAAAAUCCGAGAUCGGGAAGAAUCUAGAACAGGAACACAUAUAUCGAUAGCUUCCGGAGGGGGCGACAAUGGUUCCCAAAUAUCCCCACUUAUAUCGUAAACCUCACCAAAAGAUUCAGAACCCAUACAUUCGAAGACGUAAAUCUUUCCUUCAGCAGCAAGAACAUGGGGAAAAGCCCGAGGGAACAACAUAGAAGUAGUUUUUCUCCACCCACGUUCAAGGUCCUUCAAAUCUAGUUGGAAAACAUCGUUUACAGCAUCAAAACCAAAAGGAGUAGCAUCAUUUUCGCGUAUUCCCCCAAUAACGUAAACGUGGUUGCCACAGGAAACGGCAGUGGAACAUGAAGGAGCAUCAGGUGGCAUCGCCUUAAUAAAGACUUUAUUGCUCUCCAGAUCAAUAAAGUGCAAACCGAGCGUUAUUUUACCAUCGGUACCAGGCCGUUUCUCGACGAGGGCCCUGAUCAGUUCAUUUGGCUCUCGCCCAUCAAAGUAACUGGAGGAAUCACUAGUAUCGCCGCUCAUGGUUCACCCUCAGCUUCGCCUUUCCAGAUCCAAAAUCACUUUUAGUUUUAGGGUUUCUAGCUUGGGUUUUUUUUUUUUAAUUUGGUUUGGGUUUAGUAGUCAAUGACAAAAAAAGAUUUAUAGUUAAAUAAAUUUGUUGACAAGUUAGUAAACGGUUGAUAAUUUUUAUUUUAAUAGUAAUUUGCUUGUUUUAGUUGUUAAUUUCCAAAGUAAAGUAUUGUCAAUAUGACUGUUUGUAUUUUAAAAUUAUUUAUUAAUUAUGAUUAUUUUUAAUGAAUAUAAAAUAAUAUUAUUUCGUAUCAAACGUUAGAGGUUUGUUGAAAUUUGAUCAAUCAAUUGAAUCAGGAGUUGAUAGGUAUACUAAUUUGAAUGAGACAAAAAAUCGGUUAGCAGGUUUACAUGAACAAAUUGAAUCGGAUUAAAUUGACUUAAUAUGAUAGUUUAGAGUAUUAAAAAAGAUGUGGAAAUGUGAAGCUUAAAGUUUUGGGUUUUUUGUUUAUUCAGUAAAUAAAAAUGUUGAUUUUUUAAAGCUGAUAGCUUUGUGUAUAUAUUGCUUUGCAUGUGCUUUCUGCGAUAAUUAUAUUUGUAGGUGUUUAGGUAGCCCCCAAAAUUCAACAUUAUUUUGACAGCAACUAGUGCUUAUGAUAAUAGUGUUUAAAAAAUUGAGUUCACUUGUCGUACCGGUCGUUCUGGCCCCAUUAGUGUUGCAUCUUGUCCUUCAGGAAAGCUAGUUCAAAUCGAGCACCCUUGUCGGCGAUCGAAUCGGGUCAAACAUCUCUUAGAAUCAAAGCUGCUAAUGGGGUAGUAAUUGCUACUGGGAAGAAAUUGCCUUCGAUCUUGGUUUAGCUGUUAAGAAAAUACAGUGCCGACACCAAGUGUUGAAGUUGUUUACAGUGUUGGGCAGGUUAUAGCAUUUUGGAUCAAGUGUAACAUAAAGUCUUUCUAAACUCGAACAAAACUUCAGGAAGCAAAGUAAGGCAUUGAUUGGUUCUCUUUCCAUUAAACAAUCAAGCCACCAAAGUUAUUUUAAUUCGCUCAAAUAACAUUCAGGUUGCCUACUUGAGAAGGCCACAAUGAUUUCUUUUACAGAGACCAUAACAAUAACGAGAAGGGAAAGGGAGUCUCAGUCUCAAAGUCCCAUAUGUCUAAUACAUUAGAAGACCUUGUCUGAUAUCAACCGUGACAUCUUCCAAAAAGAACCAACAAUUGCCCCAAAAAGCAUCGUUGUCUCUAAAUUGAAAAGACACUAAGUAUAUAUAUUUAUUAUAUUCGGGUCGGGCCAAAAAAGUGGUGCCCGAGGCCCGACUCGUUUUCUAAACGGGUCUCGUUUUUUUGCCCAAACUCAUAUUUCGGACCUAUAUUUUUACCCGAAUCCUCCCAUAUUUUGGGCGGACCGUCAGGCCGGGCCAGACCGCCCAACUCAUGAUCACCUCUAGUUCUGAUUGAUCUAUGUUGUGGUGUGCUAGCCCCUUGGAUAACUCAGGUCAUUGCAAAGGUUGGUCUGAAGCAUGUCUUCGUAGUAUAAUCUAUGGUUGGUGAUGCACCACGAUUACUAUGUCAGUUUAUAAUUGUUCUUUUAAUAUAAAUUUUAAUUUUCUCUGUUUUUGAAACUUAAUGGCUUCAGGUUGGUUUAACGAUGGAACUCGUGGAGGACCUUUUGGGUAUAAUCCAGGUAUUAUUACAAAAAUUUGAAAGAAAAAGUGAUUAACUGAAAAAUGGAAUUCAAAGAUAAGUAAUAAGGCAUGAUUAUUUUACUAAAGACAUUUAUGUAGGUGUUCAAAUGAGAAUAAAAUUUAAGCCAAAGAGAUUUAUAUGUAUGAUAUUUACAGUUUACAAAUGUAUGGAAUUGCUUGUUAUGUUGUUAAUUGCUGGUCUCCUUGCACUUUCCAUGCCUUGGUUGAGAAUUAAUAAAAAAAAAUCCAUGAACUUCUGUGCUUUUUAGAUUUUGAAGAUAUCCAAUCCAGAUUAGUUUUGAAACAACAUUUCCAAGUAGAAUGCAUUUCAUUCCCUUUUUUUAAUGGCAAGGUUCCUGUUUCAAACUUUUUAUCUCAAGUUCAGAAUGCAUUAUAGCCCAUCUGGCUUAAAUGCCUAACAGUUAUGGCAUCAUUGCAAUAUCAGGGAUGCGAUAGGUGAAGUUUAACAUAUUAACCAGUUUUAAUGUGCAUUUUGGUUGGGGGCAUGUGAUACUUGCAACUAGUUAGAUUUCUAAUAACUUUUUAUGUUAUAUGGUUAAGCAGUUUACAUGUCCAUUUGGCCAAACUGCAAAUCCAUCAUACUGCAAAAUAAGCAAACCUGUAGCUAAGGCAUGCAUCAUUCCUGGUAUUCCAAGAGAAUCAACCCAUGAAUAUAAGAUCCCUAGAAAUCUUACUUAUUUGGAAUGUCUGUGCAUGAGAGACAGUCCUUUUAUCAAAUAGUGGCAUGCCCAUCUGUUUUGAUCAAUUGGUCUACAAUCGAUGAUUAACGUACUGUUAUCUGGAAUUAUUUGUUAUUUGCUUUUUGUUUGUUGUCCUGUUCUUGUAACCGAAGUGGUGGUUCAUUAGUUUUAGUUAUUACUGGUCCUAUUGGUAAAGGAGAGUGUUAAGUAGUUUGGAAUCAGCUUUAUGUUUCCUUUUCUGCAUGCACUAUGCAGUGAAAUUUGUUGCUUGCGACAUUCAUUUUGUUUAUUUCUCUCAUGUAAUGCAGUUGUAUCAUUUCUUUUAAAAUCUUCUACCAGGGAGCCUGCCACUCAACAGCUCAUGCUCGUGUCGUGCUCGUGCUGCACUUAAGUACAUAGUGCUAGGUCUGUCUAGUCGCAUGGAUGAUACACUUGGGAAGUAUAAGGUGCUAGAUUAUCAUUUUCUUACUGUGUAUUUGUAUAUGUGUUUAUUUAUUUGUGGAAACAGUCCAAUUUAUGUGGGAAAGGAACAAACUCAUCACCAUUGGCAUAAUACCUCUUUAAGAGAAAAUAAUUGAUUUCUUCUGGUUUACCAUCUAAUAUAAUGUUCCAUUGUAGAAAUGCUAGUCGUUUCAGGAAGUGAAGCACAAUACAUUUUAUUUUAUCUUUGUAAAUCAUGUUAACUGUGUUGUUAUUCGAUUAAUUCGGGUAAUUCGGUUAAUUUUUGACCAAAAAUAAAGUAUAUAUAAUUUUCGGUUAAUUCGGUUAACCGACCAAAUUAACCAAAAAAAUUUCGAUUCGGUUAAUUUUUUUGAAAACAUUUUGGUUCGGUUAACGGUUACAAAUUUUGAAAGGUCGGUUAAUUCAGUUAAUGUCAUUUCAGGUCGGUUAACAGGCUAAACACCCCUACUUAGAGGGAAUAUAUCUAAAUAUUUAGGUGUUUACCCGAACCUAAGAUUCAUUGACUUGACAAUAAAUUUCAAGGAAUAGUGUCUUCCUAUUGGGGGUUGUGCAAAAGUUGACAUCUUUGUUUUAUCUUGGUUUGAAUGAGAAUAAACUUUCUGGCAGUGUACCCUUGGAACUAGGACUUAUGUCCGAACUUUUGUAUCUAGACUUGUCCGCAAACCAAUUGAGCAAGCCCAUCUCUGGAACUUUCAGGUUAAAAUAAUCAGCUAAAUAUCUAUAUUAGUAUUUGUAUUUUAUGAAAGUUGCAGAUUCAGUCCCAAUACUUUAAAUUGGGUUUGGUUUAUAAAUUAUACUAGAUUAGGUUUAUUUUGGGUAGGACUUGGGAGUGCUGGGGUGAGCCGCUGGUUUGGGGAUUAGGUGGGCAGUAGGCUAAGCCUAAUACAUAUAAUAUAUGAUAUUAGUUAUUAAGUUCGAUUAAUUUGGUUAAUUACUCGCUUUCGAGCCAAAUUAACCUAUAACUGAGCUUUCAAAAAAUUAUUAAUCAAUCUCUGAUCGAAUUAGAUUAGUUAACUGACCGAUUAAUUUUAACCGAAAUUUAAACACUCCUAAAUCUGUUACUCUAAUAUGAUGAUCUUUAAAAUAUUUUUUUAUAAAUGUAUUUUUUUCAAUAUAAUAUAUAUUUAAAAUUGUAUAAAAAAAAGUAUGAAUUUGUCAAAUUCAUACAUACAUUAGGAACCCAAAUCUACUAGUUAGUAGGAAUCCAACAAAUUCUUGUUUUUAAGAAAUAAUCAUGAAUGUUAUAUUUUGUAUAUAUGUUAUCACUCAAUCUGUAUUAGAGGUGCUCAUGGGCCGGGCGCCCCGGCCCGGCCCGACGGCCCGCCCGAAAUAUGAGAGGGUUUGGGUAAAAAUAUAGGCCCGAAAUAUGAGCUUGGGCAAAAAAAUGUGACCCAUUUAGAAAACGAGCCGGGCCUCGGGCACCACUUUUUUGGCCCGGGCCCAGCCUGAUAUAAUAAAUAUAUUUUUUUUUAAUUUUUUUAAUUUUAAAAUAUUUUUAAAAUACUUUUUUUAAUUUUUUUAAUUUUAAAAUAUUUUAAAAACAAUUUUUUUAAUUUUUAAAAUAAAUUUUUAGUAUUUAUUAAAAAAAUGGGUCGGGCCCAGGCUUAUGAUUUUUUUCCCAGGCCGGGCCUGGGCAAAAUUUUAGGCCCAUAUUUCGAGCCGGGCCAAAAUUUUUUUAUGGGCCCGGCCCGACCCAUGAGCACCUCUAAUCUGUAUAUAUAUGGGCUGGACGAUUGGGUAAGAAAAAUCAGCAGAAUGUAAGGAGAAACAGGGGCAAAAUUGGAAACUUAACAAAUUAAACAUAUAAAACAAAGACGAAUGCGAAAAAUCUAGAGAUCUCUUCACAAUUUAUCAGCAAAAACGCCAUAGGAGGUCUGAAACAAGCUGGUUUUUCAUAUAUUUGAAUCAUGUAAGUUUAAUUCUUGAUUAUUUCUUCUAAUUUUUGUGAUUUUGAUACUUUUACAAUUAGGUCCAACUAAUUAUUUCAUUAGUUUUUGAUUUCAUGGCUGAUUUUGAAAGUUACCAUUGAUGAGUGCUCAUUUUUAUGAUGAAUAAACAUGGAAUUAAAGCUUUAAUUUUAUUAUAUGAUGAUUUAUUUAAGUAAUUUUGAUAGAAAUUGAUUUUAGGGACCUAAUUGUGAAAAAGUUGGGAAUUAAGGUUUGGUGUUGCGGUUUUGAAUAUGAAAGGCUAUGUAGUAGUCUAAAAUAGUUGGAAAAGGUGUUAAUUGAGAAAAAUUAGAUCAAUUGAGGGGUUAAUUGAGUAGGGACCAAAUUGUAAAAAUUGUAAAGUUUGGGUAAAAGUGUAAUUUCAAAAAUUUAAGGGCAUAAAUUGUGAAAUGAAUUUGAAUAGAAUUAGAUGCUGAUGAAUGAAAAAAAUUUCAUUUUAGAUCGAGAACCCGAAACAAGUCGAGGAAAAGAAAAAGUAGCUGAUUAGUCCCUGAACUUUUACAAAUUCAGCAAAUCGACCCAGGUAAGUUCAUAUGGCUGAAAUUCAAUGAUUAAAUGUUAAUUUCAUGAAUUAUAUAAUGUAUGAUGAAAUAUAUAUUAAUUGAUGAAAUGAGAAUAAAAUAAAAAUGCGAAAAUUGAAUAAAUGAUCAAAUUGAGCGGAACACCGGAUUUGAGUACUUCUGAUCAAGUGACAAAAUGAUAAGUGAUAGUUUAGCUACACUUAUCUGAUCAAGUGACAAAGUGAUAAGUGGUAGCUUUAGCUACACUUAUCUGAUCAGGAACAAGUGAUAAGUGGUGAUAAAGUGAUAAGUGGCAGCUUUAGCUACACUUAUCUGAUCAAGUGAUAAAGUGAUAAGUGGUAGCCUAGCUACACUUAUCUGAUCAAUAACAAGUGAUAAGUGAUCAUACGUAAGACCAUAGUUAUACUAUGGCAAAGUGAAAGUGAAGUACUAAAUUUUCCAUAACCGUUCCUUAAUUUUGAUCGAGGAUGGUAAGUGACAAAUGGGCCCAAAGGAAUUAUGGUAAAAGAAUAAGUAGUAGUGAGUUUAUACCAAGGAACUCACCAAAGAUUGUGGUUGACAGGUAAACUUAGUAAUGGUGUAUAAUGUAUGAGUGUAUAAAUGUUUGGUAAGAUUUAUGUUUUGUGCCUAUGAACUUACUAAGCUUUCUAUAAGCUUACUUGUGUGUGUUUACUGUUCUUGUAGAUUGACGUAUUUAUACAUUCGGAGGAUCGGAUCUACACCAAGAAUCACACUAUCUAGAUUUACUCCGGUAGAUUUUGUUAAACAACUUUUUGGAUUUAUAUGGCAUGUAUAGGGAAUUGAAGUAAAAAGUAAUAGAAUGAAUGACUAAGUAUGCAAAGUAAAUUUGAAUGUUAUGGUUGUGUUAGAUAUCGAGAUAUACAUGUUUUUAAUUUAAAAUGGUUGAUUGGUUGAACUUCAUUAGUAUUUAAAUGAAGUAGUUGAAAUACUUGAAUUGGAUGUGAUUUGAAAUUUGCAGGGGAGGUUAGAUAAUUAUAAAGGGGUUAUAUUGAAUUUUUUUUAAAAAAAUUUCAAUGGAACAGUUUUUGGACAGCAACAUUGAUGUAACUUUGAAAAAUCACUAAAAAUAGUGGAAAUAGAAUGAAGUUGAAUGGGAUAUGAAAUUAAAGCUGAAUGAGUCUACUUUCACAUGAAAGCAAUAGAGUUAGCAAAAGAGUUAUAUACUUUUAGAUAUUUGAAUUUUAGUGAGACAAGGUCAGAAUGAUUUUGAAGUCCCCUGUUCUGACUUUAGAAAUUCAUUAAAAAUUGUACAAAAGGAAUUAUGAGUUAUAAUUUUUAUGUAUAGAUUCUUUAAUGAGUCUACUUUAAGUAUAAAUAAGUAGAAACACCAUAUGAAGUUUGUACAAUGAUAUAAUUAAAUUUUAGUGAUGAGAGGUCAGGAUAGUUGAUCAGUGAAAUAGGGGAGACUUUAACUAAUGAACUGUACUAAUUUAUUGAACCAAAAAUUUUGAAAAUUUUAUGGUGAAAAGAUAUUUGAAUCUAGUUUCAGGGAAAAUUUACGGAUCUAAAUUUUGAGUUUUUUAGAUUGAGUUAUAAUUAAUUUAGUGACUGCUGCGCAGGUGGACAGCUUUAUUAAGAACAGUGAUAUAACUUUUAUAAGUAAAUUUUAUGCCCCGAACUUUUAAGUUAAGUUAAGUAACGCCUCAUGCUCGACUCCGGCUAUGGUCUUGGGUAAGGGGUUUUACACCUGAAUUCAGCUCUGACCACAAAGGUUUAAUUUAAUUUUCAAAUACAUUUAUUUAAUUUAAAAAAAUAAAAAUUCAAACCACUUAAUGGGUGUUAUUUGAAGGACAAGAAAAAUGACCUUACGAAAACUGAAUAAAGUGCAAAAUCACAAUACUAUAUAGUUUUAACUUUGUCAAUAUUUUAGUAUCCAAAAAGAAAUCACCCAAUUACAUCAACAACUUCAAAGUUUUAACUAAACUAAUUGACGGCGCCUUCAAAGUCUCUCUUCACCAUCAACAUAGGUCUUGACUCAACUCUAUGCACCAACACGUUCCAGCUGAAGCCUAAAAGGGAAGGGAAAAAAAUCUGAGAAUAAAAAUAUAAUUUUAUAUCAUUGCAGCAAAAAUUGAAAAAAGUUAAAGGUCUUGAUUGAUUGAUUGUAACUCAAAUGUUCAAGGGCUCAAUUGAGUGAAAACAAAAAAAAAUCAGAGAGAUUAAUUGAUUUUUUGAAAAAGUAUGUGGGCUGUUCUUUACCCUUUAGCCAAAAUUAAAGUAUAUUUGAUUGAUAUAUAAUAUAAUCAUUCUGGUCCAUAAAAUUAAUAAUUUAAAAUAUAUACACACAUAUCCAUCAGCAGACCACAUCAACAGGCACCAAAUGAGCCCUAAAAAUCAACAUUGUUGUUAAUAAUAAUAAAAGCUUCCAUGACCUUUUACAGCAAUGAAAACUGAGUAAGAUUAUUAUUAUUAUUAUUAUUAUAAUUCACAACUACCAACAAAACAAACGCAUCGGAGAAACGAUCUCCAUAAUCUAUUAAUGGUUUUUCAGAUAUACAUCUACAGUCUGCAGCAUUGAUCUUCAUAUGUAAUUCAUUCCAUUUUCAUUUUCGUCUUCUUACGUGUUGGAGCUUCAUCAGUCAAGCACGCAAGAACAAAAUCAAAGAAACGAGGAAAAAACAAUACAGAUAUAAUUAUCGCUCCCAAACCUUCUUACUUUCAAAGAAAACAUACGAUACAAAACCGGAAAUAGGAUGGCAAAAUAUUUUUGUCCCCUACUAAUUACUUUUUCUCUACUUCAAAUUCUCUAUUUGCAGGACUAAGUAAUUCCCAAUUAUUAGAGUUAUAUUCUUAAGUAAUAUUUUAUCCACUGUCACUGAUUUCAACAAGCUAAUAGCUCACUUAGUAAUAACAUUCACUAUCUCAAAUCAAAUUUAGCCUAUUGAAUAAAUCUAUUCUCACUUAGUAAUAGUUAUAUUUUCCGCACUCUCAUCUUGCUUCUUACCAUAUGCAUGUUGCAAAAAUUCUGUUCAGUAAGAUGAGGAAACCUUGUAAACCAGUAAAAUAAGAUGUUGCAAGAAGACAGAAAGGAAGACUAAAAGGAACAAGUGCGGUGAUGAAGGUUGUACGUUCCCGAGGUCAGUUAAAUCUUCACUUGCUUACAAGUAAUGACCUCGCUUUGAUAUUUUAGGCAGAAACAUUGUCAUAGUCUACCAACUUCCUAAGUACUUCAUCGGGAAUUUAAGCCUUUGUUUAGUUUAGGAUAUUUUAUUUUCUUUUUGGAACACAAAACUAGAAGCAACUAUUGGGUGUAAGGCAAAGACAGAACUUGAGUUCUAGUUCUCUAAAGGUGCUAGGAGCCUCGUACCCAUUUAAAACAACAAAUAGAGCAGACAUUUUCACACAAUGCAAAUACGACGCCUGAUUCGCCUGCUCCGUACCUUAGCAUUACUCAAGUUUUAUACAGGAAGUUCCAGGCUCACUAUCAACUUCUUAGCGACAACAAGAGCAAACAAAAUGCAAUUACAAGCAGUAUUGGCAAAUGAAAAAUCCGUCAAUUUACAAGGAUGGGAGUAAUUAAGAUGUGGUAGUGAUGUGAAGGGGGCACUAACAUUCAUUUAGAGCAAACCAAAUGUAAUGGCAAGCAGCAUUGGCAAAUGAAUAAUCAUGAUGUAGUAGUGAAAUGAAAGGGGCUCUAACUUUCAUUCAGAACAAAAAUAUAUCACAAAUAUCUUCUGAUCGAUAUGGAACAGUGAUGGCAGAUUGAUGCUCUACAGCUGCAUGAAUCCCUCCCUGCUCGUUGCACCACAUAUUAAAUCUUAUGUACUCAAAGCUCAUAUCGAUAUGGUUCACCCAACCCAAAAUACACUCGCCAUUGCCCAAACGAAACAGAGUGCCACUCCUUGGUGGAUCCACUGAAAAUUCUGAUGACCAUUUGACGGGCAAAUGUUUCUUAUCAAGCAAAUUAUACGCCUCCAAAGAACAGAACUCACCAGAAUAAUUAUAUAUGACAGUAUACAUCACAUCGUCCACGAAUUGACGCUAAGUCAGACCAGUAACAAAAUUUUUGUUCGAGGCAAACCCAUGUUUACAAUCAUAGGUAAUAAGCGUAAAGAGAAUCAUUGACAUGGCAAUGCACCAAAAUCCGAGAUCGGGAAGAAUCUAGAACAGGAUUACUUAGAGCGAUAGCUUCCGGAGGGGGCGACAUUGGUUCCCAAAUAUCCCCACUUAUAUCGUAAACCUCGCCAAAAGAUUCAAAACCUAAUUGUUCGAAGAUGUAAAUCUUUCCUUCUGCAGCAAAAACCAGGGGAAAAGCCCGAGGGAACAACAUAGAAGUAGUUUUUCUCCACCCACGUUCAAGGUCCUUCCAAUCUAAUUGGAAAAUAUCGUUUAUAUCAUCAUAACCACCUAAAAUUACUCAAGUAGCAAGGUUACCAACCUAGUUACAUACCGUCAGACUCAACAUACAAAAUAGCAACAAAAUGACUUUCGAGUUGAGCUGGAGAAAAUGGAUGCUUGACCAUGUAUUUACUAAAGCUCCCAUCCGAGACCUACGCAUAAAAAUAAAUAUAACUGUACGCUCAGUAAUAUAUACUCAAUAGUACUAACAUAAUUUAAAUUCAAUUAUAAACAUAAUAAAAUUGAAUAAACAAACAAGUAAGAAGAUUAAAUAUAUUAUUAACAUGCAUGAAAUUAAAUCUUUAACAUAGUCUAAUUUCUAGCGACUUGUUUUAAGAAAUCGAAUUUCUCGAUUUCAAUUGAAGUAAUUUGCUUCAAUUUGAUCCUCGAUUUCAAUUCUAAUCUCACCUAAGCUAUUCCGAAGUUCUAGUUACUACUCUUUAACCCGUAUUUCUCUUACCUGGAUUUUCUAAACUCGUAUUUCCUUUUCUUCCUCUAAAUAUACUUAAAGAGAAAACCAACUUGCUUACCUUUCAUAUAUUUUCAGAAAUAAUUAAUUUCGAAAAAACUGGCUCCCUAUAUCAAAACAUUAAAAUAACAAUAUUCAUUAAAAUAAUAACAUAAUAAAAAAACAUAUAAUUAUAUAUAUGAAAAAAUUAUAUAUGUUAAACUCAGGCUCGACCCAAUUUUUUUUAAAACUACAUAUACCAAAUCAAACUAUGUAUUUGACUUGGACCUGUUAUUAUGAAAUGCAACUGAUAUGAUUUGGUUUGGUUAUAACUCGAACAGCUUUGUAUUAUGCUAGACAAUAGCUGGUGGCUUUAUAACUAUUUCAAGACCUGACAAUUAAUCCUCUUCUCUCUUCACAUUCCUCUUUUCCCAUCUUUCUCCCACCAAAUUGCUUAUCUUGUUUUCAAGCUGAGCAUUUUACAACACGGUCCUCAUCAAUCAGGUUUUUAGCAAGUUUUAAAAUUUUCAAUGAGAAUAAAGCAUAAAUGUGCCACUACCACUUAAUAUUCUAUAUAGCACAUAGUUCAUGUAACAUUAACAUAAAGUAGAGAGAAAAGUUCGGCACUUUGGCUUGUCAAAAGUAGGCAAUUCCAUUUGCUAUCACAACAUUACAUAGACUGUCCAUUCACCAGUCUUCCCACAUGUGUUCCAACGAAAACAGAGAAUGUCAAAUGGAUUCAAGCAAUAGUAGCUUGAGUGCUUAAAUUCAAAGUCUAUUCUGAACUUCCUAAAGGUAUCUGAGUAAAUUAAACAGAAAACACAAACAAAAUAAUUCCAGAAAGAGACUCAUUUUAUUUCAGCAAUCAAGCAUCUUGCUUAAGCAAUCACUAGAAGGAUCUCAUCAAAAAGGGAUCAAUUAAACACAAAUCAUAACGAGCUAAGGGAAAAUUUGUAAUUGGUAGAUUAAAAAGAAAAAACAUAAGACUCAAGUACCGAAAGUACCUAAAAUUACUCAAGUAACAAGUUUACCGACCUAGUUACAUACCGUAAGACCCAACAUACAAAAUAGCAACGAAAUGACUUUCGAGUUGAGCUAGAGAAAAUGGAUGCUUGACCAUGUAUUUACUUAAAGCUCCCAUCCGAGACCUACGCACAAAAAUAAACAUAACUGUACGCUGAGUAAUAUUUACUCAAUAGUACUAACAUAAUUUAAAUUCAAUUAUAAACAUAAUAAAAUUGAAUAAACAAAUAAGUAAGAAGAUUAAAUAUAUUAUUAACAUGCAAGACAUUAAAUCUUUGAACAUAGUCUAAUUUCUAGCUACUUGUUUUAAGAAAUCGAAUUUCUCGAUUUCAAUUGAAGUAAUUUGCUUCAGUUUGAUCCUCGAUUUCAAUUCUAAUCUCACCUAAGCUAAUCCGAAGUUCUAGUUACUACUCUCUAACCCGUAUUUUCUAAACUCAGUAUUUCAUUUCUUCCUCUUAAUCACGUGAUUUUUUUAUUCUUUUCUUUUUCCUACUUCUAGUCCCGACUUUGAGGUGUGACAGUUUCUAAAUAUAUUUAAAGAGAAAACCAAUUUGCUUACCUUUCAUAUAUCUUCAGAAAUAAUUGAUUUCGAAAAAACUGGCUCCCUAUAUCAAAACAUUAAAAUAACAAUAUGAAUUUAAUAUGAAUUUAAAAAACAAUUUUACAAUGAUAAUAUAAUUUUUCUAUAUUCCUUACCUGCUAUUAGUUCUUUUUGCAUAAAGGAUUAAACCUUCAAAUAGAUGAAGAUAUAGUUCUGGCAGUAGCCUACUCAACUCAUUCUCAAUGUUAAUGAUGGUAACCUAUAAAAUAAACAAUUUAAGUAAAAGUUAAUAACAAAAGUAAAUAGAAUAUCAUAAUAAAAAAUACUGAAAUCUUACUUUUUGUGUUGCAUUGUCGUUGUAAUGACGGUAAACAUUAGAGCAGUACCGUACUACAGAGGAAAAGGAUUUGGGUGGGUAACUAAAUUUUGGAUGCUUGAAUAUAGAUCGAAGCACCGGAUCACGUUUCACCGCCAACACCCAAUCAUAUGAAUAUUUCUUUCCCAACGUCUUUAGGCAUUUCUCAAGAUCAUACAACUUAAUCUCUCCACGCUUCAUCAUGUGAUCCAAAUUUAUAAUAAAAUGGAACUUAUCAACAGGUCUCCAAAAUAAAGGCGCAUCCAGUAGAAACGCGGGACUCAUGUAUUUCCUAUCCAUUUGGACAUAGGCAAAUAAGUAAACAAAAAGAUUAUGAAAUUAAUGAAGUACACCACAUGAGUUAUCGAACUUUAAAGUAAAUGUGUGAAAGAUAACUUACAAGUGUUGAAAAUUGAGCUGGGUAAGAAAACAUGAUAGUUCAUUCGGCAUAUUGAAUUUCUGAUAAUUUUGGAUAACAGAUUCGAAUGGCAUAUUGACGAUGUAGUUCAUCAAAUAUUUUAACUGAUCAAUAACAGCUUCCAUUGGUUGGUCAGAUGCAUUUAAAUUGGGUAAAAACUUUACCCUCCCACCGAAAUUAGUGAUGAAUAUAGACUUUAUCGGAUCUUGCGUAUAAAUACUCUUAUUACUUUUAGCCCAUAUAUGAGCCACAUCCCUUAAGACCUUACCGAAAUCCUCACUAAUAUAAUUGAACCAUUCACUCUCAUUUCAGUUACUACUUUCCCACCUCUCCAUUCUUUCUCGAAAAUAUACUACAAUAUUUUUAGAAUAUUCUAAUGCAACCGGCCAUUCAUCUUGAUACCGUAGAACAUGAUGGCAGCAUAAAAUCCAAUCAUCUUGAUGCGCUACUAAAUGUGUGUAUAGUUCCAAAGCUUUCUCUUCGUCUUUAAACGACAAGAAAGUGGAGCUAAUUUCUUUUCCCGAAAUCUUUAGCACUCCAUAAUACACACCAUCAUCCUGGUCUAUAAUCGCACAACCUGGUUCCAACAUAGCUGUUGCAAACCAAAAAAUAAAAAUUAAAUUAACAAAAGAGACAAUGAUCAAAUGAAGAAUUAACCAUGGGAACAUCCUAUAGCCAAACAAAUUUCCACAAUAUCACCUCCAUUUCAAAUAUUAGCAGACAAGGAAACUGCUAAAGUAAAAAAGUCUAAACAUGGUGGUUGCUAAAGUAAAUUGCAAUAGACUGUUACAACUCAUUACCAACACAUUACAAUGUCUAAAUACGAUUUCAUGUUUUAUAUUUUAUAAAAAAUCAAACACUAAUUCAUAUAGUUUGAGAUUGUCAAGAGAUAAAAAAAUAAAAUAAAGAUUCUACAAUAUCCAAACAAUAUUAAAAGCGGCAGCGGAACAACAUUAAAAGCAGCAGUGAAACUGCACCAAAAACAACUUGCAAAAUGUAAUCAACCAAACAAAAUGCCCAAAUUUAAACUGCGGAAAAAGAAUUAAAACUUUAAGUUGCCCCAAAUGUAAUAAAAGAUAAAAAAAAAAUUCUGAUUUGAGAAUACAACUUAUUAUGUGCUUAUCAUGCUUUCGCUUUGGGGUUCCCUUGGACCCUAACACUUCAAACCAUGUUAAAUUGACAGCAAGGAGAGUGGCAGACUAGAGGUUUGCCGUGCUUGAGCUGCUCCCAUCUCAAGACCCCACAACUAGAAUUGGUCCUCUAAUCUAUUGACUUAUCACUUAAAACGAGUCCAAUUUUCACAUAUUACCCAGAAUUGAAGUGAAUAUCGAAUAACAGUAUGUGCUCAACACCAAUAUAUUCAAUUUUCUGAGCGACCUUACUCAGGGAAAAAAAAAAGGUUGAUCAAAUUUCUUAUGUAUAAACCAACCAUUUGCACAUUAUCUCAAAAUAAUUGCUUGUUUAUGUGUCUGUAUAUAUAUAAUAUGUAUGUAUGUAUGUAUAAUGUUCACUCUCCUAAGAAACUUUGUAAAAACCCACCUAAAUCAAAACAGAAACUCCUAUUUGGUUCAUCCAACUGCAGGUUUUCCCCAUUUUUAAUUAAUAAGAAAAUGCAUUUUCUUGUUUUAAUUCCUGUUUUUUCCCUGCAUUUUCUAGGAAUAAAUCAAAGAUAAAAGAGUUCAUAAACACAUAAAUCAUUGAAUAGAACUAUAAUAAAUCAAAUAAAAAAGAUUCAAGACAAAUCAACCUUAUCCCAAACUGAAUUUAACCUGAAAAUCCAAACAACCACAAAGCCAUACAAAUCUUCAAGUUUGAGUAACCAACAAAGAAUAGAGAAACCCCCAAAUCAAUACCAAAUCCAUAACUACGUGUUAUUCACUUUGCAAUAUGAACUCAUAACAUCUUCAGUAUAUCAAUCUAAGGUUUAAGUAAAGCAAAAGUUUUUAUCAUUUUCUGAAUUACUAAAAGAUAAAAGCAUCUGUGACUCCUAUAAUUUCACCACCAAACACAGCAUUAACUCCUCAUAAAUGAUAAAUCUAUUUGACAUAAAAGAAACAUUUACAUACACAGCUUUUUCUCUAUGAAUAAGGAAAGAAACAAGAAAACUGAAGCUGAUCUUAAAACAUACAUCAAUAUUCUGCAUCUUUGAAACAAGAUUCCAUUUUCCAGAGUCUCGUUUACCAAUCCAAGAAGUUACUAUAACAGAAAAAAGAAAAGCCGGAUUUUUUUUUCUUUCAAAGGUUGAGUGAAGCAAAGAAAGAAAGAAGUUUUUUUUGAGAAACGAUACUCUUCAACACGAGAAAACGAAGCAAUAUCCGGAAAAAGACAUCAAACAUCCGGAGAUUAGGAAAACAAAAAUUCUCUGCAAAGAAAUUCUACGUUAUAAGAACAUGGAUAUAAAUUAUGGCGGCGGAUGGUUUUCCAAUCAUGUCACAUUCAAUAAACACACAUUGAAGAAAUUAGAAAAAAAAAAGGAAAGGUAAAUUAGAAGAAAGCAAACCUGGGUAUGGGUAUUGGUGUGGUGGAAGAGAAAUGGACAGCAAAAAGGUGUGAAAGUGGGUUUUCCCGAUUCGACUGAGAUUGAGAUACGAUUAAGUGGAAAGUCGGCUGCUGAGAAAAAAAUUCGGUUGUUACAAUUUAGAUUACAAAAGCAUGUAACUUCAGGAAAACAAAAAUUCUCUGGAAAGAAAUUCUACGUUAUAAGAACUAGAACUAGAGAUUCAGGGAAAAAGAAAAACGAAAGCGAAUUUAGAAGAAAGUAAACCUCGGUCUGGGUAUUGGUGUGGUGGAAGAGAAAUGGACAGCAAAAAGGUGUGAAAAUGGUGGGUUUUACCGAUUCGACUGAGAUUGAGAUACGAAGGAAAAGAAACGACAGAAGGGAAAUCCUAGCAACAAAAAGAAAACAAACGUGAAAGCCAAGAUGGAGAAAGCGGGAAAAAAAUAGGGAAGUGAGUAAAGAGUGGAACUACAAAAAUAAAUUUAUUUUUUUAUUUUUAUUAUUCUUAUCCUCUUAUAAAAAAUAAAUUCUAAAACCAUUUAAUUAAUAUCCAAUUAUCAAAAACCCUCCAAAGGUUUAACAUAUAUUUUAAGGAGUUAAAAUUGUAAAUAAAAAAUACUUAAAAAGAGAAAGAAAAAUUCCACAUUGUUCACACCUAAACUCAAACUCUAAACCAAAGGUUAAGCUACCAAAGACCUAGCCACUAACGCAGAUGUUUCAUUUUAGUAUUAAAAUGCAAAAAUUAACUUAACAGUCCCACCUAACCGCUGAUCAAACCAACUAUCCUGAAUAAUUCUAACCAAAUUCCGGGGCGUUACAUAGGUCGUGUAACUCACUAACUUGCACCCUAAGAAAAUUAUCAGAUGAUACACGACCGUGUCGCUAGGUCAUAUAUUUCAAUCCUAAUCUCAUUGACUUAAUGUGCAAAAAUUUAGACUUAAAAAUUUGGUUUGGUUAAAAAAAAGCCCAUUUAAAAAUGGGUUUAGCCUCAAGGAAUCUUUUUUCGACCAAAACCUGACCCGACCUAAAUUUGCAAAAAAAAAUUAUUGUUACUUUGUCACUUUUUUGCUAUCAUUUCACUAUUAUAUUAUUAUGUAUUACGGUUUGGAUAUUGUAUUAGUCUUGUUUUAUUGUUAAUUUUGUUACUAUUUUAUUUUUAGAGGCACUUAUCUCAGUGCUAUUUAAGUAUAAAGACUUCUUUUUAAUUUACUUUCAAUUUGUUGAUAAACAUUGAUUUUAAUUUUUAAUAUGUUUGAUUUAUUAUAUUUUUAAAAUCUAUUUAUAUAUAUAUAAUAAUACGGGCGGAUCGAGCCAGGCUCAAGUUUUAACUUUUUUUAUCCAGACCAAGUUUGAACAAAAAUUUAGGCCUAUUUUUGGUAUCAGGUCGAGCUGGGCUGGGCUUAUAAAACAGGUCUGAAAUUUUGUUACAACCUGUCCCAUAAUCACCUCUAGUGCAGAUCAAGUCAAACUCGAAUUCUUUCAAACUUAUUUGAGUUAAAUUUGGGUAGAAAAGUAACGUUACGCUUUGAGUAAAGUCAAGUUCAGUCAAAUAACAUGCUUUAUUUUAUUUAAACUCGACCCACGAAUAAAUCUAAUGUUUCAAGAUUGGAGUGAAAUGGUUGAAUGUAGAGGUGAGCAAAAUUCGAUUCGACUCGAAAAACUCGAUAAAAAUUUUAAAUUUUGAGUUAAACAAUUCAAGUUAAUCGAGUUAUUCAUAUCAACUCGAAUAAAAAUAUCAAAUUUUUUGGUUUAACUCGAAUGUGAAUUAUACAAUUCGAGUUAUUCGAAAAUCAAACUAAGAAAAUCAAAAUUACGUCGUUUUGAUAAAUGUUUACAUUUUCUAAGCUAAAAGUCAAAACCAUUAAGUUAAAAGGCAAAACUAUUUCGUUUUGAUAAAUGUUUACCUAUUAAGUCAAAAGGCAAAAUCAUUAUAUUGUUUACGUAGUUAAAUGAUCCUGUACUUUGUCUACUAGUUAAAUAAUUGGUCCAUAUAAACACAACAUUGAGCAUAAAUAAUAGGAUUUGUUCACUCGACUGGACUUGACUCGAAAUUUUUUAGCUCGACUCGACUGAAUACUCACCUCUAGUUGAAUGAACUCUAAUAAAAUGCAAUAGAAGUUUAUGCCUAAUAAAAUUAAAUUUGUUAGUUUGGUAUCCUAUAGACUCCAAUUGAAAUUGCUUUUAAAAUAAAAUGUUUUAAAAUUGUUGAGGCACUUGUAAGAGCAACGACACCAAGUAUUUACAAUUAUGUUGAUAAGUGCCCAAGGUUUUAUAAUUUGUCGUAUUUGAAGUUAGUAAUUUUUUGAAACAAUAUAGUAGGGCCAUGAAUUAGUUGAUAUUAUGGACAUAUAUUAGUCCAUAUUUGAAGGUUGAUAUUAUGAAGCAACAAAUUUUUAAAGAUCAGAUUUAUUUAAAUCAAGCAAAUUGGAUCAACUGUUUCGUAGAGAUUGAUUUGAAUGGCUUCAAAAACAUAUCUUAGAGAUUUUUUAUUUAAAUCAACCAAAUAAUAUUUUUAUAACACUUAAUUAAAUCAAAUAAUUAAUCUAUAUGCAAUUAAAUUAAUAUGGGAAGUCACUAAAUAAAAAAAUGGAUAACGGCUACUUACCCACAUGAAGUUGCGAGAAGACCAUUGCAAUUGAGUUCCAGCACACUAGGCUGAGCUAAUUCCCAGAUUGCUACAACUAAGUGGAUAUAAAGCUUUUAAUAAAAUCCUCCAAAUUGUUUCUAAAAAAUUUAAUGGUUUUCUAAUUGUGACAUGGGAAGCAACACCAGAACAUGGGGAGUUCAUCUCACAUUUAUGUUUCUAUUCUAUUAUAAGGUUUUAAUGAGUGUGAUUAUGGGUAAGAAAUGGUAGUUGCCUCCGGCUAUUAGACUCAUUGAGCUAAAUACUACAUAUGAUGGUGAUGGGUGGGGCUAGAUUAGUUGGAGUCUGGGUUGAUUUUAUACGUGGUAUUAAUAUUAUAUAUAAUUAUUUAAAAAUAUUUUGGUCCUAUAAACCUUAAAUUAUACUAAAUUUGUCCAUAUCAAUGUAUAAUUAACACAAAUUUGCUGCAAGGCUUUUGCCAUGGUGGAUCACUUGAAUACUUCACAGCAGAUGACAACCAGCUUAUUGGGCCAAUCCCUCAAGGGUUGAAAAUGUGCACUAGCAUGAAGAAAGUUCGCCUUGAAAAAAACUAACUCAGAAGGAAUACAUCUAAAUAUUUAAGUGUUUACCUGAACCUAAAAUUCAUUGACUUGACAAUGAAUUUCAAGGUGUAGUGUCUUCCUAUUGGGGGUUGUGCAAAAGUUGACAUCUUUGUUGUAUCUUGGUUUGAAUAGGAAUAAACUUUCUGGUAAUGUGCCCUUGGUACUAGGACUUAUGUCAAAGCUUUUGUAUCUAGACUUGUCUGCAAACCAAUUGAGCAAGCCCAUCCCUGAAACUUUCAGGUUAAAAUAAUCGUCUAAAUAUCUCUAUUAGAAUUUGUAUUUUAUGAAAGUAUCGGAUUCAAUCCCAAUUUAGUAUUGGGUUGUGUUUAUAAAUUAUACUAGAUUAGGUUUAUAUUGGGUAGGACUUAGGAGUGCUAGGGUGAGCCGCUAGUUAGGGAUUAGGUGGGCAGUAGGCUAAGCCUAAUACAUAUAAUAUAUGAUAUUAGUUAUUAAAUUUGAUUAAUUUGGUUAAUUACUCGCUUUCAAGCCAAAUUAACCGAUAACUGAGUUUCAAAAAAAUUAUUAACCAAUCUCUGAUCGAAUUAGAUUAGUUAACUGACCAAUUAAUUUUAACCGAAAUUUAAACACCCCUAAAUCUGUUGCUCUAAUAUGAUGAUCUUUAAAUUAUUUUUUUUAUAAAUGUAUUUGUUUCAAUAUAAUAUAUAUUUAAAAUGUAUAAAAAAAAGUAAGAAUUUGUCAAAUUAAUAUAUACCUUAGGAACCCAAAUCAACUAGUUAGUAGGAAUCAAACAAAUUAUUGUUUUUAAGAAAUAACCAUGGAUGUUAUAUUUUGUAUAUAUGUUAUCACUCAAUAUUUAUAUAUAUAUUUAAAUUCAAAUCCAAAAUUUAAAACUAAGUUCCCAAACACUGCAUAAAUUGGAUAGUAAAAUACUUCCAAAUAAAACAUUCAUUAUUAUUUCUAAAUUCAUCGAUUUGUUAAAUGCUUAUUUAGUAGAAAUUUCAAAUUUCUUAAAUUAUUAAGGGCUAAUAUGCAAAAUUACGUGAAAUUUAAAAUUUACCACUAUACUUCACUCUCAUCAAUAUUUUAAAAUUUUAAAAUUUUUAUAGGGCUAAAAUAAUAAUUUCCCACUUUAGGGGUCCAGUCGCCUGCCAACCCUCUGAAUUCGCCUAUGACCAUGAAGGUUUAAUUUAAUUUUCAAAUACAAUUAUUUAACUUAAAAAAUAAAAAAUCAAACCACGUAAUGGGUGUUAUUUGAAGGGCAAAAGAGAUGGCCUUAAGAGAACUGAAUAAAGUGCAAAAUCACAAUACUAUAUAGUUUUAACUUUGUCAAUAUUUCAGUAUCUAAAAAGAAAGCACCCAAUUACAUCAACAACUGCAAAGUUUUAACCAAACUAAUUGACCGCAUCUUCAAAGUCUCUCGUCACCAUCAACAUGGGUCUUGACUCAACUCCAUGAACCAACACGUUCCAGCUGAGGCCUAAAAGGGAGGGGAAACAACCCGAGAUUAGGAAUAUAAUUCUAUAUCAUUGCAGCGAAAAUUGAAGGCACAAAAACCAAAAAAGGCCCCUACACAUUUAUAAAGAAAUCAAUUGAACCCCUAGACGUUAGAGUUAUAAUAAAUUAAGCCCAUUUAUCAUUAAAGUUAUCCAUCAAAGUUACAAAGCGAAAAGUGCCAUUUUUUUGCUGGUUGUUUUCAGCACAUGGCAAAAACUAGUAUUUAAUGUAUAAAACAUUAAAAAAUCAACAAACAUUUAUAAAAAGUCAUAGAAAAUCGUAUAAUAUUUUUUUUAUAAUUUUCUAUUGACUUUAUGUAUAAAAUGCAUGUUUUUACCACAUGGCCAUGUGGCAAAAACAGCCUGAAGAAAACCGGUACCCUUGGCUUUGUAACAUUGACCGUCAACUUUAACGGUCAAAGGGCUUGAUUGAUUGAUUGUAAUUCAAAUGUUCAAGGGCUCAAUUGAGUGAAAACAAAAAUGUUCAGGGAGCUUUCCGCUUUCAGACUCUCUUUUAGUCCAGUUCUUGAUUUGGCUUUUCUUUGUCUUUUUUCAAAUUUACCUGUCGAAACCACUUUUUUGAAAUUUGAAAAAUGGGUAUCGAUUUUGAAAAUUUAAAUGGAGUCGCCACAGAUCUUUAAUGAGGUGUGAUCAGAUCACCUUGAAAACGAUUUUAGGUCUACGAAUUUUGAGAAAAUAGGUUUGGGAGUCGGUUACGCACGAGGAAGGGUUAGCAUCCUCGUGACGCCCAAAAUUAGUACCGAAUCGAUUGUUUAAUGUCUUAAUGUCGAAAAUUUGAAAAGAUUUUAAAAUACGAUCCUUUGAAAAGAAAAUUUAAAUAAAAUGAAUUGGAUGAUAAGGCGCACUCAUUUCAGAAAUAAAUUGCCACACUCAGUGAGUUAGGGUGCAACAAUUCAAUCUUCGAAAUUAGAUUUGUUCCUUUUUUAAGAAAAUCAUGUGUUUUAAGAAGGAAAUUUGAUUGUUUAAGUCAAUCGAGAAAUCAGAAUCCAGUAAGUUAGGGUUCAAUUUCUCGAAAUUCUUAAACAUCGAACAUUGCCUUUAUUUUGAAAUCGAGAUAACAAAAUGUUGUAUCCAGUAAGUUAGGAUCAAACAUUUUGAAAUCUUAUGAACUUUAUUUUAAUGCUUAUAUAGUUUUAAUAAAAUGAACAUUUGAUUAUCCAAAUUCAUCAAGAAGAAUUGAAGCCCAGUAAGUUAGGGCACGAUUCCCUCGAGAACUUAUGAACAUCAAGCUUUUUUUUUUUAGGAAUUAUGAAAUAAAAUGAGUAUAAUGUUUUAAUAAAAUACAAUUCUUACAAAUGUAACAUGAUUGAAUGGUGAUGUACAACGUAAAAGAUAAUAUAUAAUCCAAACACAUACUAAAGAAUAAUGAAUAAAUAAUAAAUUAAUACUGACAAACAUAACAACAAUAAUCUCAAUUGUUCAUUAUGCCAAUAUCAAUAUCAACAUUCAAAAGCUAAUAAAAACAAGCUGAUUAAUGCAAAUGCAAACCAAAUGUACAAGUUUUGAAAUAACUAAAGAAAUGGCAUGAAAGAAAUGGAAAUUGUAAGUUAAUAAAGUAUAUGUACAAAAUUUUACAAUAAAUAAUAUACAAGAAAUUGAAAUAACUAAAAUUGAGUUUAAAAUAAAUACUAUGUGAGACAAUGAUAUUUAAACAAAUUUUGAAAUAAAUGUUGCAUAUAAGGAAAAUCAAAAUAAGUAUUAUACAAAAUAAUAUACAUAUUAAUUUAAAUAAGUAAACAUAUGAAAUAAGCGGUUUAAUAUGAAUAAUAAUAUAUAAUAGUGUAUACAAAAAAAGGUUAAGGUAAAUACAGCAUAUAAUAAAAUAGGGUCUAAAGUAUAAAUUAUGUACCUAUAAAAUAAAUUUUCCAAAUAAUAAAUAUAAAAACAAUAUAAAAUAUCAAGAAUAAUAGUAAUAAAAAUCAUGUAAUUAAAGAGAAUAUAAAAACAAUGAUGAUAAUAGAAAAUAUUAAAUUAAGAUUAAACAAAAAUUUAAAAGGACGAAUUUAAAAUCUAUUUAGAAUACAAGGACUAAUAUAGCAAUUAAAUGCAAAAUCAAAACAUUUAGAUUCAAUUGGUAGAACGGCAUCGUUCAUUCGUGGAUCCAAUUGGAAUCAGAAUCAAAUAUAAGGUAACAAUUAAAAAAUUGAAGAAAAACUAAAUUGAAAUGGAAACAAAAUGUGGAGGGAUUCAGUGCACAAAUAAACCAUUGUACGAAACGCGCGGGUCCUGAGAAAACGAGUCAGGUCACUUGGGUCACUGGUCGGUACGGCGCCGUUUUGAGGCCACUAAAUCUGGCCCCAAAUGGUGCCGUUUUGAACACUUAAAAAUACCUCCAGAAACCCUAAAAACCUAAGAAUCAGAGGACCUCCCUUCCUAUUCUCAGCCGCAAGUAAGAAACCCUCUCCUCAUCUCCACCGUUUUGAACUUUACCGAUUUAUUCUCAAAAUCUCUGCCCAAACUUCGAUCACGGCGAAGCGAGCAGAGAUCCAACGGUGUGCUUCGAGAAGGUAAAACCUCCCUCUCCUUCCUCUUUUAUUUUUCGCCAAGAAGAGAGAAAAAGGAAAAAAAAACUAAAAGAAAUCGAAAAAAGAUCCAGAGAAAAUCAGGAAAUCGCCUUUCCUUAUUUAGUUUUUCUGUAUUUCGUAAUGAUUUCUCCUUUUUUAUUCAACAAGAAAUAAAUUUCAAAACAAAGAAGCAGAAACAAUGAACAAUCCAAAGGAGAAAAUCAAAUCUCUGAUCCUUUUGAAACUUUUUCUGGUUUUUGUUUGUAUUCAAUAUCUGUGUAUGUGUAAAAAAAAGGAACCAAAAACCCUUUUACAAAUUCGAAAACAGCUUUAUAUAGUCGAAAAUAAAAUAGAAAUUUAGAGGAAAUUCUUUUCUAAAUUUCUGCUAUUUUUCUCUACUAUCCUCGCGUAUUCUGCUACUGUUGCCCCUUUGUUCUGUUUUUCUUGUUUUGUGCUGCGUUGUCUAUUCUUGUUUGUUGCAGGUAUGGCCUGGAGUAGAAGAAGCACGUAUGCGCGGAGGCGUAGCACGCGCGGGAGGGGGCCCUAAUUGCUGCGGCGCUGGAUGUUGCGUUGCUACCCUACGGUUUCUGAUUCUCUUUGGUUUUGGGCCGUAUGAUUGUUAGGCUAGGUGUAAUUGGGCUAGCUGUAGUUUGGGUUUGUACUGGGCCAUUUGUAAAUGGGCUUGGCUUGUAUUUUGGGUAUGAGUUUGCAUUGGAUUGUUUUUAUUGGACUUUUAAUUUUAUUCUAUACAUAUGC
rnacentral:lncRNA from 1 species